AAAUUCUCAUCAGCUAGGACCAUGAGAACAGGCCAACCCAUUGUGAUUCUUACUUCUCCCUUUAGCUAUUGACAAGUCACAGGACAUAAGAGAGGGUUAGUAAUGGAAGCGUGGAUGACAUUGUUGUAAAUAAACAUAAUUCACGAAGGAUAAAAAGGAUGAUGUUAAUAUUUCUUAUGAGAAUAAAUCUCAAUUUGGAUGAUACAAUUAUACAAGGUGAGAAUUUACUUAUUUAUAGCAAAAAAAAUGUUGCUACGGUUAAAAUUUUGACAAAAUGCAUAAAAAUAAUUAAAAUAUUUUGAUAAUAAAAGACUAAAAUAUCUUCGUUAGUAAUGUCAUGCUAGAUGGAUAGUAAUGUCAUGCUAGAUGGAUAAUACAACUUAGCUACCUAACUUAGGUUGGCUAUAUCGCAUUUGGCGUCGGCUUGUAAAUUAGCACUUGACGGUUUAGCCUCCAGUCAAUCCAAACGGUGCUUAAUUAGGUAAGGCGUAUUUCACAAAGACAUGCCAUCCAUCUGUCACGUCAGGUGAUGCGCAUGUAACCAAAACAACCGUUAUCAAAGUAGGCACAUGCGAAGGCUUAUUUUUCCAAGGGUAACAAGCUAAUUAGCUAAGACUAUCAUUAAAAGCCUCUUUAAAUGAGAUUUUAUUAUUUAUUUAAAGAGUCAUAUAAAAAAAAGUUUUAAAAAACUCUCUAAAUGAGAUAUUUCAAAUAAAAUAGUGUUUCUCUCUAUUUAAUAUUAAAAAUAGAGAAAUACUAUUUCAUUUGAAGAAAUUUAUUUAGAGAAUUUUUUAGUGCCUUUAUUUAAUACUAUAUUUUUUUCUCAAAAUUCUUGAAGAAAGAGAAGUAUUAUAAUGACUAUUAUUUUUUUAGAGAAAAAUUUUGAUUAAAAUAAUAUUUUUAUUUUUAUUUAAAAAAUCUUUUGAAAAGUAACUUCAUUUUUUACUCUUCUAUUUAUUAUAUAGAUAAAUAAAUAAGUAUUUAAAAAAUUAAAUUAAAAGAGUUAAACAUAUUUUUCAUUCUUGUUUUGACAAAUUUAAUCUGUUGAUUCAUCUUCUAUCCUAACGGGUAUUAACAAAUGUAAUAAUAAUAAUAUUUUUAAGGAGAUCUUAACCAUAUUAAAGUCAAUCAUUAACCAUAAUAAAGUUAAGAAUAAAUUAAAAUACAAAAAAAAAACACAUUUUUAUAUGAUAUAAUACACUGCAUUAAAAUUUAUAUUUUUUUAUCUUUUAAAUUAUUCCUAACUUUAAUAUGUAAAAAUUCUUGAUUGGAACGUAUAUUUCCAAAUUAAAUUUGAGUGAAGUAUGUUUAUAAAAUUUUAGAAUUACAAAUGGCAUGUUAGCAAAUUAGUAACUACUAAUGCUCGAUGAUAAUUAACAUUUUUAUGCUAAUGAAGUAAUGAUAAACUGAGUCAAUAAGGGAGCAGAUCAUUAGUCCUCUGAAAAUACCGUUAUUUUUACAUUUGUUAAUAUAUGUUAGAUAGAAAAUGAAUCAAAAGAUUCGAUUUCUCAAAAUAAUUUAAGUUUUUUCUCACCGUGCGUGGUUCGAGCUUAAUCACUAUUUCUCUCUCUCUCUCUCUCUCUCGUCAUUCUUAUCUCUCUCUCAUCUUUUUCAAGCGUUAACUUCAGCCAAGAUGGAUUACAUAACAAAACAAACAAAUCAAAAAAAAAAAGAAAAAAGAAAAAUCAAAACAAGAAUGAAGAAAAAUAAAUAGCACCAAUUUAAUUAUGGCAUGUGCAUAAUUAAUCGAGUCUGAAAUAAAACUUACAACAGACAUCAAUUUAACCUCAUAUAAAAAAUAAUAAUUUUUUUAGAAUAACUUAUUUAUUUAUUUUGAGACACAGUAAAGUUGCAACGGGUGGAAUUCCAGUAUUAAUAAGCCUUACAUUCAUGGUGAUCAUCAACAGAAAAGAGAUGAGAGAGAGAAAGAGAGAGAGUAUGUCAGAGUACAUGAAAGUUAAAGAAAAUGUAGAAGGGAGAGUGAUUGGAUGGGGUCCACAUGUGGAGAGAGAAAACUUAAAUUAUCUUUAAUCCAAUAAAUAUUAAUAAAUAUAAAAAGGGUAUUUUUAGAGGGCUGUUCAUAUGCCUGCAUAUAUGGUGUGUGUAUGUGUGCACAAACAGUCUCUUUUUAGUACAAGGAUUAUUAUUUUUUUAUACGAACAAGUUUUUAAAUAAUGUAAUUUAAUAUAAUUAGAUUUGAAUAUUAUAAAUAAUAUAAUUUUAUAAUAUAUUAAAAAAAUUAUAUUAAAUUACAAGACUUAAGAUCGUGUCUGUAUUAAACAAAUGAGUAUGCCACUCCUCGAAUAUAUUCUAGGACUAGAAAAUAGAACCGCGCUUCACGCAACUUUGAAAAAAGAAUUUACUAUUAUCUUUUUUUCUUACUUUAUACUUGAUGAAACUGAUAAAAAAUAUGAAUUGGUUUUUUUUUAAGAUGAGGCAGCCUUAUAAAAAACAGAAAAAGCUAUUAGCCAGCAAUACAAAUAAAGAAGCAACACAAGAUAAAGAAUAAAAUGAGAGAAUAUAUUAUAGAGUAAUUUUAUUCAUUCCAAUUAUGUGUGUACAAAACAAAAAGAUGAGCUCUCCUUUUAUAGUUACAUAAUCACUCCAUGAAAUUAAUGAAAAAUUAUGAAUCAUAAUUUCUUGUGAGAUAGUGGGAGUUAUAGGGAAGCUAAAUGUUGUUAAUGGGAGAUAGUGGGGAGACUAUGAGAUAUAUGUUAUGAACAUCUACAUUUAUUUUAAUAAAUUCAUAGCACUCCUCCUUGGAUGUUCAAUACAAAGAAUAUGCCUCAUUAAAAUCUUUACAUAAUUGUUAUUGUGUAAUAACAAUCAAAUUAAUUAUGAGAAGAUGAAAAGUCAAAUCUAAAAGAAAAUUUCUCUAUUUAUUAGAUAAUAGAGAAUGUACAAAGAUGAGAAAUUGUGAUGGUUGUCGAAGCUAGCAAAAAUAAAUACCUACUCUAAAUAAAUUGUGUAUAGUGAUUGAGUAGGGUCGUGUCCACAGAGAUCGGUAAUUAUUUAAAUCCUUUAAAAUAUAAAAUGCAAAAUGGGGGAAUUAUUGACAAUAAUAAAAAUUAAAUUAAAAUAACAAGAACGCAAAUUAAAAUUGUAAUUCAAAUUGGAGAAAAUUCUGGUUGAAGGUAUUAACUCAGCUUGAUUCGACUACUGAUAAUUGAUUCAAAUAUAAAUUAUUAUUACUUAUGAAUAGACCGGUUAUAGCUACUGAGACCCUCUAAUAGCCAAUCUCUCCUUAACUAGUCGAUAACCAAGGUACGACCGUUGGUUAUUUCCCUAAUCAAUAGACAACCCUAGAUACGAUCAUAUUUUUUUUGGAAUUUGUCCCUACCAUCUAAGAUUAAACUCUUUUAUUGGAGAGCCUUUUCCAAUAUCCUCUCCACUUAUUUAAAUUUGCACCAAAGGAAAAUACUAGUUGCUCCUUCAUGCCCUCGUUGUGGCUUUGCUUACGAGGAUCAAUAUCACGCGUUGGUGGGGUGUCAACUAGCAAAGAAGGUAUGGAAGCGCACGAGAUUUUAUUCAUGCCUAAAGAUAUUAGUGUCCAUGGAGUUUUCUAAUUUGUCCAUUCACUUAUCAUCUACAUUCACAAAAGAUGAGUUCGAAGAAUGGGUGGUCUUGUGUUGGUCAAUAUGGCUAGCUAGGAAUCAUUUGAUUUUUUGUCAUACUAUCAGUGAGCCUCACGCAAUUGUCGCCCGAGCUGCGAAUGCAGUGAAUUCAUAUCGAGAUAAUGUUCUGCAAUGCGGCACCAACAAGAGUAUUAACCCUAAAACUCCCAGCCCGGGUUGGCAAAGUCCUCCCCUACCAUGGUACAAGAUGAACAUUAAUGCAGCUGUUAGCUCUAAGGAAGCUCGUGCUGGCAUAGGAAUGUUAAUCCGCAACUCGCAAGGUGAGGUUAUGGCAGCAUCUAAUUGCAGGGAGAUUUCUACCGACAAUAUAGAUUUUCUAGAAGCUCUUGCAAUACAAAAAGGAAUCCAAUUGGUGAAGGAUAUUGGGUUGGUUCUAGCUAUCAUUGAAUCAAAUUCUCUCAAUGUUGUUAAUCUCAUUAACAACAAAAUCCACAACAGAUGUGAAGUGGGAUGGCUAAUCUCCAACAUUCAAGAGGCCUUAUCUUCUUCCAAGAGCACUUUCCAAGUGAAUCAUACUCCAAGGUCUUGCAAUGAAGCUGCACAUCAUCUAGCUAAAUUAGUUAUAUGUAAUUCCAAAGAGAGAGUGUGGUUAGAGGAAGCUCCAACUGAGAUCUCAGCUUAUAUAUGUACAGACAAAUCCAUGUAAACGCUUUCUAUUAAUAAAUUUUACUUAAAAAAAAUCAAUUAUUAUUUUGACAAGUAGCUCGGACUACUAUGCAGUCCCACGGAGAGGAUAGUGUAAUAUAGACUAGAGACUUUGUGUUUAAAGACUUGUGUUUUAUUUGAAUAUUGUUUGUGUGGUGAGUGUUUACGUCUAGGUGCCUUGGUAGCAUUUGGUCGUAAGUCCCGAUUUGGUUGAAGGGCAGUAAAACCAAUUCUUAACCUUGGAUUGUAGCCAUACCAACAAGACUAAAAUUAGGAUAUAGGUUUUUAACCAUAGAUUCUCUGCUCUGUAGAGCAUCGUCCUUUUCUAGCUCUUCUUUUGAAAGAACUAGUGAUUCAAAGAAUGUUGUGAAUUUGGAAGAAUUUGUAAUUGAAGACUUUAAUAAAGCUAUUGAUAACUGGGAAUUACCAAAAGUUAAUAAAGAAAUGAUUUACAAAAUAAAAAAGCUUGAUUUUCUAAAGAAUGAUUAUGUUAUAAAAACCGAAGAACGUGAUAUAACCCUUUCAAAGCCUUUUGAAACAAUUCAUUUGUUUUCAGAACAAUCUUUAAAGAAAUUAAAAGACAAAAAUUUUAAUUAUGUUCACAUCGACUUAAUACAAGUUGGUAUAAAACCCUUAACAAAAGAAGGCUUAAAUACCUCCAUACUUGCAGUCCUAAGAGAUGGGAGAUUCAUCUCUUUUGAUGAUUCUUUACUAAGUAGUAUAGAAUCAAGUCUUUGUAAAGGUCCCAUUUCAUUUAAUUGUUAUCCGAACAUAACAAUUUCUUUCAAAGACAAAAACAUUCUAAAAAGCAUGAUUUUACAAAUCAAGACCCACAAUUAUGAUAUGAUUGAGGGAUCUAUUCCUGUAGCCUUAAUUUAUAAAAUUUCUUACAAAGCCAAGAUUUCUGCGUUUAGUACGCAACAUAAAUUUCAGUCAAAAAGAGAUGAGACUCUUCUCUUGCAGACUGACCUGUCUAAAGCCAACACCAUUAUUCCAAAACCAAUCCAAUGGAAAGAUGUCAAUCUUCCAGACGAAUAGAUACUUGAAGGAGCCACUGCUCUAGUAAUUCCAAAACAACUUGAGCCAAAUACAGAGUUGCAAAAUGUGACUCAGUAUUCAGAUGACAAAGUCAAAUUAUCCUUUCGGAGAUCUAUGUCAUCAAGAUUCUCCGAUAAAGAUUCAUGUUCAAGCAUUCCUUCACUAGAAAGAAAAUUUUCAAAAAUUCCCCCCGUCAUAAAUCUUCCUUAUCAAUCGGUAAAAAGUCAACCUAGGUUUUCUACAUCAGACAUACCUAGCUCCUCUAUUCACUCUGUUGACUAUACCACUAGUGUACCUCACCCAAUCUACACUAGUAGUCAACAUGAACAAAGACAGGAAGAGAAGGAACCUUCUCCUCCAACUUCUCCUACUUUUUUGGCUGUCACAGAAAAUGUUAUAAAUGUCAUAGAAAAAGAUUUUGAAUUAGAUAAAACUCUUCUUCACAAUGAUUUUUUUUCUGAUUCUAAUAAAGCGAAAAGACUUUGGUUUUUCAAACAUUUUUUAAACCAAAGAAAAGAAAUCCAACAAAUCUAUUAUGAGUUUGUAAAUUUGCAUAAAGUUCAUAUAUUGUUUUUUGAUUAGUUUGAGAUGUAUGCUUCUGAUAACAACAUUUCUUAUCCCUUUAAAGAAUCAAACCUCAUUACUAUUCGAAAGAAAAACGCAGAAUGAAGCCUUACUAGUAGUGGUAGAAUCAUAGAAUCUGAACAUCCACCUCUUAGGAGCUUAACCAUCGAACAUGGUGAGCCUCCUAUAGAGAUUAAAGCCUCACCCUAUAAAAUCCAUAAAGAUCUAGAGACAGAUUUAGAUAGCAUUAUCCAACAGAACAAUUUCUGCAAUGCUAAUCUAAAUACAAUAGGAAAACAGUUGACUAGAAUAGAAAAUCAAUUCCAAAAGUCAACCAUAACUGUUUCUCCUGUUAUUUCAAAAUCGGAUUCUGAAAAAAAGCUUAAAGAGCCUAUUUUCAAACCUUUUCAGGUUUCGAAAACUAGUCAAAAGCUUGUCCAAGAGUCAAAAUCAGAUUUUGCUAACGCCAUCAGAGACCAAUUAGACAGAAUAUAAGCUUCUUCUUCUUCUUCUAAGGUCCAGAUAGCCCCAGAUAGUGCUCAAUCUAGUAAGAUUGGUGUACUAGAAUAUGACAAUGUUUCUAUAGCCUCUUCAGAUAUAGAAGCAUUUAAAGAAGAACCGUCUGUUCCUAAAGCCAACAAAAUCCAUUGGGAAUUAGCCCUACCUACUGUCAAGUCUCCACCUGAUUUGGCCAUAGACAACAGGCCUAGUGCAUUAAACCAAUCACGAUUUAAUGCAUCCUCCGUCUAUGAGUGGAACAUUGAUGGUAUGUCAGAGUACAACAUCUUAGGAUUGUUGCAACAAAUGACCAUGGCAGCCAAUGCCUAUAAAACCCAGUCGGGAACUUCUGACAAAGCCAUUGCAGAAAUUCUCAUAGCUGGUUUUACUGGUCAACUUAAAGGUUGGUGGGAUCAUCUUCUCACCAAACAGCAACAAUUAGACAUCCUAGAUUCUAUUCAAACUGAUGAGAAUGGAGCCCCCAUUCUCGACGAGUUCAAUAGUCCGAUACAGGAUGCUGUUGCCACCCUGAUUCUAACCAUGUCUCUCCAUUUCAUAGGUGACCCUUCACACCUUAGAGAUAAGAAUGCUGAGUUACCACACAACUUGAGGUGUAGAAAGCUUAGUGAAUUCCAAAGCUACAAAACCACAUUCUUUACCAAACUCUUCCUUAGGGAUGAUGCAAAUCAUGUAACUUGGAAGAAAAAAUUCCUUGCAGGUUUACCUACCCUACUGGGAGAAAAGGUUAGGAAUUCCAUUAAAGCCCUUUUUGAUAACCGUAUUCCUUAUGAUGAGCUCACCUACGGUGAACUUGUCAGUUUUGUUAAUAAGGAAGGUUUAAAGAUUUGUCAGGAUUAGAAACUUCAGAAACGGCUAAAAUGAGAGCUUAGAAAAUCUAAGCAAGAAUUAGGCAGUUUCUGUAAGCAAUUCAAUUAUGACCCCUUUAAAACUUCUGCCUCUAAAGAUUGUAAUGGUAAGUGUUCUACAAAACCUUACAAAAAACAUUGCAAAUCAAAAACCCAUAGAAAACCUUUCCAAGACUUUAGAGAACUUUCUUAUAAGAAACCUUCGAGGCCUUAUAAGAAGCCCAGUUUCUCUAAGAAAAAAGACUUCAAACCCAAACAAAAAACCCCUUUCAACUACAAAGAAGCCGCGUGUUAUAAAUGUGGAAAGAAAGGCCACAUUGUAAAAUUCUGUCGAAUGAGCAGAAGGCUCCAUGAGCUUGAUCUUGAUGAAGAAAUAUUUUCUAAAAUUGCCCCUUUACUUAUAGAGUCUUCUGACUCUGAGUCUUCCAUGACGGGAGAUAGUGAGCCUCUACAAGUAGAUGAGUUAAUUGACUCAGAUACUUCUGUAUCCAGUGAUAGUAAUUCUGACACAGAAUCCUAUUUAAAGAAGAUUAAUGUGUGUGUGUAUAUAUAUAUACAAUGAAAAAUGUGAUCCACAAGCUGAAAAUCAUGAGGCAUAAUGAAUCCAACUAAUUAACAUUGAUUAUGAUUAGCUCAAAGCAUGCAUUGAAUCAACAACUGAUUAUAAAAACUAUAAAUGAUCAUUUGAAGUGAUAAAACAAUAAAUUGAUAUCCAUUAGAGGUUAGCCACUUCUUGUUUAUUGAUCUUUAGUGGGAAAAGUAUCAACGAUGUCUUUGGGCUUUGCAAUAUGAGGUCCUCAAGAGGAGAACUAUGUAACAUUUUACAUCAUCAAUGGGAGAGUUUUAGACUUUAUGAGCUCUAAGCUCUCCUAACUAUACAUGCAUGUUUUUGUUGGAUUUUUAAUAAAGUAUUGUUGGAUCCUUAAUUUAAUAUAGGGCUUAUAUGUGAAUAAUUAUGUAUUGCAAACUGCCAUAUAAGGGUAAGUCCAAUUAAAAGUGAUCUAUUAAGGUUUUCAGCAAUAUGAGCUUUAAUGUAUAUGAUAGGGUGUGGAUCUUGAAUGUGUAGAGACUUAAAGGUAAUUUUUAUUUCUAUGAUGGGCUGAAAUAAGAAUACUUAAAAACAAUAGAAAAUUUUAGUCUAUAUAAGUAGUCAUGGUCUCCAGCUCACACGUAUCAUUCUAUUUUUUCUGACAUCAAAUCAUCAGAGAGAGUACAAAGAAAAGUAAAAGAUUCUCUAGGAGAACGUGUUGAUCUAGAAGGCCAACCAUAUGACUCAAGAGCAAUUAAGCAUUUUGGAUUCAAGUACGCUUUCACAUAAUUUGUUAUUGAUUUUUAGUGAUACAACAUGAAUGUUCCCGGAUUAUAAAUGAUGAUUUUCACCAAAGGAUUUCUUGUUUUAAUAAGUGCUAUCAGAGCCUCUUCAUGUUGAAGUCUUCGAGCAUCAAAUUUAUUUUGGAUUAAUAAAUAAAGUUUUGAUUUUCUCAAAUUUUGUAUCAUUGAAUUUGAUAAAAAUUGUGGCUGUUUUUUUGUAUUUUUUAAAGGAUUAAUUAAAAAAAUCUGGGUUAUUAAGGAACCAUUACCGCCGACGUUAAGGCUUUCGAGCCAACAAGAGAGCCACGACCACCAUGCAAAAGAAUAAAAAGAAAAAGGAAGAUAAGGUUUAAAGUUUUGGGGCUAUGGCUUCAGGCCAUACGAGGCAUGGCCCAAACAUCAAGCAAGCCAAGAAAGCGGUUGCUACAUCAAGAACAUAAUAUAUAUAUAUAUAUUUGGCGCGACUGUUGGUUGCACUUGCAAUCAAGACGCGGCGACCUGGCUACAACAGAUUUCUUAAAAGCGGCUACCACAGUCGUGGCCUUAGGACAGAAGAAAAGAAAGGCAAAAAAAAAAAGGGGGUUAAGGUUAGGGUUAGGGUUGGACUGGGAUCCAACCCUAGUCCGAAUGAAGAGUGGGGCUAAUAGUCAAUGGUCAAUAGUUGAUUGUUGACCGUUGACCGUUAAUUGAACUUUGAUCUAGUUUUUUUAGGCUAAAUUUUGGUGCAAUUUUAAAUUCAAAUAUUAAUAUGUUAAUAUAUAUAUAUAUAUAUAUAUUAAAGCGUCUUGUAUGAAUAAAGUUUGUCGACCAACAUUUUCAAGUUAGGACAAGUAAUAUGUUAGUAGUUACAUUAUAUUUACCUUGUGUUAUAACUAAUCUAAUUAUGCAGAAAAUGAGUCGUGUCAAUAAGAACAUGAGAGCUUUGAACAAGUAUAAUCACCGCCUUAGUCGAAAAGGAUACAUUGGAUUAAUGAAAGAAAUUGUAAUUGUGUUAAAUAUUUAAAUUGUUGAUGAAAUAAUUUAUAUAUCAGUUAAGUGUGUAAAUUUUUUGCUUUGUUAAAUAUUUAUUAAAGGUUUAGUUAACUACUAAAUUUUUUAACCGUUAACUAGUCUAAUUUCUUUGUCGAAGUAAUGUGCAGAAUCAGGUCUUUUGGAAAAGUUAAUUAACAGGAGUGAACUAUGGAAGAGAGCUCAGAUGCUAAAGAAUGGAGGAUACGACUUUGAAACCAAACAAAUCAUUAAGAAAAUGGUGAUCAAGUUUAACUAGAACAAACAUUCUUAUGAUAUUAGAUCUAUGCUCAUUUAAUAAUAUUAGUUUCUUUAUGGUGGGCUAUUAGGAAAUGCUAGAGAAGGGAGGACAAAAAAGACUCAUUCAAUUCUGAUGCAAGAAAUGACUUACUUGCACAAGCAUUGGGAAAGCUUCCUUGAACUUGUCAUAUGCAAGGCUUGGGCAAAUUUAUUUAUGCUUCUAUGUACUUUCACUGCCUGCGUGGACCCAUCCGAAAUGAGCGAGAGGGGGAGCUGGAUGCUUGGAAAAAAUCAGUAGAUGAACAGUUGCGAGAAAUUUACAAGAAUUGAAGAGGACACCUCGCCAUUCAGAUGUUUGAAGUUCCACUUUCCCACAUAAUAUGGUCGAUGAUGACAGUGAAGGAGAUGUACAUAAGGUACUUUAGUUAUCUAUGUUACCCAAAUAUUUCCUGGUUUAAGUAUUUUUCCUUGUAUAUCUUCCACUCAUUAGAGUUUAAUUUAUUUACUAUUUGUCGAUAAUGCUAACAGGAACUGGAUAAUUUAGGGAAGUCAACUGUGAAGAAGAGGAAAUGGAUGUCUGGUCAAAGGGAUGAACAUCCUAAAGUAUCAACACUAAGAAAGAAGGAAGAAGUUCAGAAGAAAGAAGAGACACUAAAAAAUAAAACUACUGCCAUUCCGAUGAAGCCAAAAAUGAUGACAGUGAAGGAGAUGCACAUAAGGUUAGUUUAUUCAUAAUAAAUGGUUGUAUUUUUCCUAGAUUAUGAUUUAUUCUCUUGUAUAUUUACUAUUCAAUCUAGUUUAAUAUACUUACUAUUUCAUAUAAUUAAUCUUCAUAGGAGGUAGAUAAUUUGGGCAAGCCACCAGCAAAUAUCGCUGCUACCAUUCCGGUGAAGUCAACAAAAAAUGAAGGCAGUGAAAGAGAUGUGCACAAGGUUAGUUAAUAAAAUUAACUAUAUUUAAGUUGUUUUUGUCUUUGUAUGUGAGAUUUUUUUUUGUUGCCUAAUUGUUUUAAUUAAUAUAACUAUACAAGUCAAGUACAAUGUUUAAAACAAGGGCCAAGUUGCACAAGCUAGCUUUGCAGCCACAACAUAUUUAUAUAUAUUGCUGCAUACUCUCUCUCUCUCUAUAUAUAUACAUAUAUGUGUGUGUGUGUGUGUGUGUGUGUGUGUGUGUGUGUUUGUGUGUGUGCGCGUGUGUGCGCGCGCGUCUUAUUAGAAUUAAUUUUAAAAAUGCAAUUGCAAAUCACCCAGUGAAAUGUGUGUGGCCCAUUUUUAAAAAACUUUAUUGGCAUCAAUGCUUGAAUUAUUCUUAGGAGUGAAAAAAAAACUUAUAUUUACUUACAAUUUCAUAUCAUUAACAUCCACAGGAGCCAAAUGAUUUGGGCAAGCCACCAAAAAACACUAUUGCUGCCAUUUUGAGGAAAAGUCCAAGACUCAAUCCUUCAAUCCCAAAGGAUUAUGCAAAUGAUGAGAGGAAAAUAGUUGAAAGCAGUAACAAGCAAUUGGAUUUUGAUUGCAUUGAUGGUACAACUGAUGGUAUACAGGAGAUGCAUCCUGACAGUCCAACAAAAAAUCCACUUUUGAAAAAGGAUAAAGUAACAAAGUUGUAGUGCAGCCUAUGAGGAACACAAGGAGUGCAAUAUUCAAGCACCAGAACAAUGAUCCUAUGCUGCAACUAUUUGAGAAAUUGUGUGGGAAAUACCUGCCUGAUGAAAAUGAUAGUGUUCUGACAUAUAUGAUUGAUGAUAAUGUAUUCCAAAGACAUGCUUGUGCUUAUAUUGGGAAGAAAGAUUGUAAUGAAUUGUUGUCAAUGCAAGCACUAGGAGUAAAUGCUAUUCAAGUAUGUAUGGCGUAAGUGGUUUAAUGAAUUUUCUUUACACUAUUUUAUAUCAACUUAGUAUUUUUUUUUAUUAAUUACUGAUUUUCUAUUCAGGAUGUUGGAUUCCACCAUUCUACCAACCAGAAAAUUAAUAAAACCAUUUGGAUUCAUGUGUCCAAGUUUGGUUUGCCCAACAAAUCCAAAGGCUGUAGAAAAAUUUCGCUCAAAGAGAGUUGAGCAUAUUCACGACCGCUUGAAAAAAUCCAAAAAACAGACAACUCAUUCUCAUGCCAUACAAUCCUUCAUAAGUUUUAAUUUUCAUUUAAAACUUUUACAGUUGUUUAUGAAUUUAUAGUACUUUUACAACUGUUUGUUAAUUCAUGGUUUUGUUUUCUACUUUUUUUUCCAAUUGCCUUCUCCGUCUUGUUGCUACCAUUGGGUUUUAGUUGUGUUUGACGUGGUGAAAAAGAAAGUGUUUUAUGUGGAUCCUGUGCAGUCAAGUCCUGACACUAAUUUAGAACAGCUCCUUAAAAUGUAGGGAAAAGGACACAAACACCCCCAAUGUUUAAGUAAGAGACAUAAAACCUCCUAAUGUUUCAAAAAAGACACUCAGACCCCCAUUUGGUAACAGAAAUCGUUCCGUUAAAUCAUUAAAAGGUUAAUAUUGUAAUUGCAGAUUAAUAUCGAAUGAAUUGACCAAAAACCCACACACACUUGACACACACAAACAGAACACACGCACGCUUAACACACACGAACAAAACACACACACACCCUUAACACACAAACAAAUCACACACACACUUCUCCCAGAUCUUGUGGCUACCGAAAGUUACUGGAACUGCUCGCGCUGCCGCAAGCUGCCAGAACACUGCCUCUUAUUGCUGGAACUGUUCGCGAUCGAGGAAGCCACUGGUGUGCUGCUUGUGCGUCGAUCGAGAUCGAUUCUGGCUACUGGAACUGCUCGCGUUUGGCUGCUGCUCGUGCGUCGCUGCUGCUCGUUCGAUCGAGGAACCCGCGUUUGGUUGUUGCUCUUGCUUUGGAAUCCAGGUUUCAAUUCUCUUAAAACUAAUUUUUCUCUCUUUAAUUUUCGUUUUUUUUACUAAAUUAACUUCAUUUCUUUUUAUUAUCAUUCAAAAUUUAUACUUUUGAGAUUUGAGAAAAAAUUCUAAUAUGUGAUGUAAAAACUUUCUAGCUUGCAUAUGUGAUGUAUAUGCUAGAAUAUAAAUGAUGACCAAUUUUUUAUUUUUUGAUUUAUGGUUGUUUGAUGAACAGAGUUCUUAAUUUGUCCGGCUUAUUGGAGAUUUCUCGCUAAUACUUUUGUUAUUUUUUUAUUAUCAAUUUUUAGAUGUGCAUGGAAUAAAUGAAUCAAUUUUAUUUUUUUAUAUCUAAUCAGUUGGGUUAGAAUGCUACGUAGGUGGGAUAUUAUGCAUUUUCUUUUUUCUUUUUUUAAUGGUCAUGGAGUAUAUGAAUUUUGUGCUUAAUUUAUUAAUGAAAAGUAUGUACUCGUUUGCAGAUGGUAACAAAUAAUGGCUUGCUUUUAGAUAAUACUACAAAGAUAGCCCAACAAGAAUCAUUUCAAGCUGAGGUUGAUUAGUCGUCCCAAAACCUGAAUACUAAUCCAGUUUCUUUUUUUGAACUAGAAGUUGAUGAAGCAUAUUGGUCAAAUGAUGACAGAGUUGUCAUACAAAUUUGUGAACAUAUUAUGUUUUUUUAAAAAAAAAUAUUAUGAUUAUUGUUGUAAUAUUUACCGGUACCAAUUUAAUACAAUAUUAUGAUAUAAGGAUUUGUUGUUAUGUUUGUAGGACGGGUGGUUUUUAUGUCUAUUCGAUAUGUUAUUUAGUACAAUUAAGAUUUUGUAAUUAUUGUUGUAACCAAUUUUUUUUUGUUGAUUAUACAAGUUUAAAUGAUUGACAUAUGGAGAAUUAUUAUUCUUAUGGCAUUUAUAACUAAUUUUAUUUAUUUUUAUUCUUGAGUAAUGGAUUAAAUUUAUUUGGGUUGAAGAGAAAAUUUGACAAAAAAUUAAAUAGAAGAAUUGGGCAAUGAGGGUAUAUUCGUAAUUUUGUUAAUAAUAUAAGGAUAAAUUGGAUAAUAAAUAAUUAUUUUUUAAUGUGCUAGAAGGGUAUAAUGGUAAUUGCAUAUUAAAAUUAUAAUUUCCGUUAAAAGAAAUGGUUUUUGUUAACAAAUAGGGGUCUAAGUGUCUUUUUUAAAACAUUAAGGGGUUUUGUAUCUCUUACCUAAAUGUUGGGGGUGUCUGUGUCCUUUUCCCUAAAAUGUAUGUAUGCCAAUUUAUUUCAUGCAAUUGAUAUUUUAAGUUUUUUCAAUAUAAUUAAGAGAUAACAGUUUACUUUUUUUUAUAGCACCAUGACCCUCUUCACAACGGAGGAUAGUAAGAAAAAAUGGAAUUAUAAUUCUAAGAUGAGAAUUGUGAAGGUAUAAAAAAAGUAACCCUACAAAAACUAUAUGUGCCUAUCGAUUACAUAACUAAAAUGGAUGAGAUUUUGUAAGUUUUUUUUUGUGUGGCAUGAACAGGCUCCAAAACAAAAUAUCAUAAAAUUGCAGUGUGGCUAUUAUGUGUUAAGGUGCAUGAAGGUAAUAAUAGCAUAUGUUAGUUUAUUAAUGAACAAUGUAAGUUGAUGAUGACAUUUCUUAACUUUUUUUUAUUCCAUAUACAUGACAUUAUUUUUGAAGUUUGACCUCUUAAUAAUCUUGUGAUUAACAGGUUAAUGGAAAGAAAGUACACACUCAUAACGAAUUAAAUGAGGUUCGUUUGGAGUGGGCUAACCAUUUCUCUGACAUCCUUCUUGCAUCAGCAAAAUGGUUAGUAUGAGUAUGAAACUAUAAAUAUUAGUUGUAAAAAUUUAUUGAAAUUAAAGUUAUAGUGUCAAAUUAUAAUGGUUAUUGUUAACGAUUGUAGUGUGCAUGUUUUGCAUUCGAUAACAUUGGGUAUUUUGAUUGAUUCUGAAUAGAUUGGUUUGCUAGGUUUGGGUUGGAGUGUUGUUAUGUAUGUGGCUAGAAUACCAGUGGUGUGGAAAGAUGCUGAAUUGGAAGAUGUUGGGUUGCUGCUGAGUGUGUGUUGGGAGAGUUGUUGGGUAAGUGGCUAUUGGAAUAUUGCCGUUAGAAGAUGUAUUACUGUUGGAGGUUUUGUUGGCUUGGUGGUUGGAAUUUGAGUUGCUUUUCUUGUAGUUUAAUUGGAUGAAUGUGUUUUUUUUUUUUUUUUUAAUUUGGGAUGUUGAUUAUAUAUGUAUUGGUAGUGAUGACAAUAUUAGAUACUAGAUGUAUUUAUUUUGAAAUUAACUUAUUGGAAUGAAUGAAUGUUAAUUAAUAUUAAUUGUUUUUAGUUUUUUUCAUGAUGCUCAUUUUUAUUAAUUAAUUAAAUUUGUAAACAUGAAUACAAAAAUUAAUUAUAAUCGUAAUUUUUUUAAAAAAAAUUAAUUUUAUGAUGGGAAAUUCCCAUCAUAAAGUCUGUCAUAACAAUUUCCUGCCAAAAAAUGAAUAAUAAAUUUACAAAUGAUAACAUAAUUUCCCGCCAAACCUUAAUAAUAAAUUUACCAAUGACAAUAAAAUUUCCCACCAAAAUUUAAAAAUUUGGCUUGAAAUUUUAAAUAAAUUCAAAUUUUAAUUUAAUAAUAUUUUCACAUUAAAAUAUUGCGUGACGGAUAUAUGACUGUAAAAUACCAUCGUUAAUUCAUGACGGCAAAUAUUCUGUCAUAAAUUAAUGACAGUGACAUAGAUGACAUAUGAAUUGUCUGUCAUGAACCCUCUUUUAUAACAGUUAUUGUCCGUCGUCUAUUGCAUGUUUUCUUGUAGUGACCCAAAAAAUAUGGUUUACGAAUUUAAGAAAUCCAUCUACAGACUUAAGUAAGCAUCUUGACAAUGGUAUUUCAAGUUUCAUCAAGUGAUCAUCUUAUUUGGUUUUGAGGCGAGUUUGGUCGAAGAUUGCAUAUAUCAUAAGCCCUAUAAGAUUAGCAUAUUUUUCUAGUUUUAUAUGUCAACGACAUUUUGCUUGUCGGCAACGAUAUAGGCUUAUUGCACAACACCAAGAGAUUUCUAGUUAAGAAUUUUGUGAAUGUAUUCUUGCAAAUUCUCACCCUAUUAAAGAUCUCAUGACACCCAAAAGGGAAAAAAGUUAGAAAAAAGGUACUGCUAUUUACAGUUAUUAUAUUUUCGAUACUCUAAUUCUAAUAAAAUUUUAUAUCACUAAAAUAUAAUAUAAUUUACUAUUAAGAACAUUAAUAUAUUUUAAGAAAAAUUUAAUACCCUUAAAACUCAUUUAUACAUAUUAUUGCAGGUAAAAGCAUUAAAUAUCAGGUUUUUUCCUUGUCAUUAUUGAAUUUAAUCAAUUGUAAAAACAAAAUAUUUAGGGUCCAUUUAGGAUUUCUUUUGGGAGGUUCAAAAGUGAUUUUGAAAAGGUAAAUUUUAAUUUUCGUAUUUGGUAAAUUUUUUUAGAAAUUACUUUUGGCAAAAUCGCCCUAUCCUACAACAAAUUUGGAACAUAAAAAAAGAGUAACUUUUCAAAAUCUGAUUUUGAGAGUCACUUUUAUACUCAAAAUAAUUGCAUAUAUAUCCUCAUAUAUAUUAUUAAAAUCCACAAUUAUUCUUAUUAAUGAGAAAAUAAAAUCAUUAACUUUAAAGAGAUUAUUAUUAAUACUAAUUAUAUUGAGAUAACAAAAUAAAAAAUAAGAUAAAUAAUAUAAAGUAUUUAUUUUCGUUAUUAAUUAUCUUAUAUACACAAUUAAAAAUAUUGUGUGUGUGUGUUUAUAAAUGUGUAAGUAAAUUUUAUUCAACGUUGUGUUUAAUUCAAUCAUUUACAUUCUUACAAUUGUUCGACAGUAAGCUUUGCCGAACAUGUACAACUGCUUUUAAAACUUAUAGAUUUUUCAAAAAUAAAUUUUAUUAAAUAUUUAACUAAUUCUCUUCAUAACUGAUUAUUUCUACAGCACAGCUAAUAGUAAUUAUUUUAGAAGCCACAGUAUUACCAAACUGGCCUUAAAUUCUACGUGAUCUAGGAAGUCAUCAAGCAGGACACAUACUCUUCUCUUCAAUGGAACAAAUUGCACCAUUUAUAUAGAAGAACAUCAAAUACGAAGAAAAGUUGAGUCAAUCGAUUAUAACAUUCUUGGGCAUUAUGUUUUAUGACUUAGAGAAUGAUGAAAUAAUUUGCGCAGUACAAGAAAACAGGUAAUAGAUGACGGGAAAUAACUAUCAUAAAAAGGGGUGAAUGACAGACAGUUCAUUCGUCAUCUAUGUCACUGUCAUUAAUUUAUGACAUAAUAUUUUCCGUCAUGCAUUCAUGAUGAUAUUUUACGAUCAUAUAUCCGUCACACAAUAUUUUAAUGUGAAAAAAUAAUUAAAUUAAAAUUUAAAAUUAUUCAAAUUUUCGCGCCUUUUUUUAAGUUUUUUUAGCGGGAAAUUUAAUUAUCAUUUGUAAAUUUAUUUUUCAAUUUUGGCGGAAACUUAUUUAUGACAGAAUGUGUGAUGGGUANNNNNNNNNNNNNNNNNNNNNNNNNNNNNNNNNNNNNNNNNNNNNNNNNNNNNNNNNNNNNNNNNNNNNNNNNNNNNNNNNNNNNNNNNNNNNNNNNNNNAAUUUAUUGAUGAAUUCCUGUUUACAAAUUUAAUUAAUUAAUAAAAUGGAUAUCAUAAAAAAAUAAAAACAAUUGAUAUUAAUUAACAUCCAUUCAAUUUAACAAAUUAAUUUUGAAAGAAAUACAUAUAUUAUCCAAUGUGAUCACCACCAAUACAUAAUAAAACAUCUCAAAUUGGAAAAACCAUCCUAAAGAAUAAAAUAAUAGUUAAAUUCCAAUCAAGCUCCAAGAAAAUCAAUUAAAAUUUCAGCCACCAAGCCAAGUUACCCAAUAAAAUUUCCAAAAAUUAAUGCAAGUAUUCCAACGGCAAGAUUUUGAGCAAAACUUCCAGUAGCAAUACCAUCUUCCAACAGCACUCUAAUUCUAGCUACAUACCCAGGAACACUCCAACUCAUAUGCAGCAACUCACCAUCUUCCAAUAGCACUCUAAUUCCGACAUAUAUCCAGUAGCAUUCCAACCCAAAGAAGCAAACCAAUCUAUGCAGAAUCAAUCAAAAAUCUGCAGGGGCUGUCUUGCUAUUGUUCUGAAGUGAAAAAAGCUCCUGUAAAUUACUAGGGUUGUUUUCACUGUAGAGAAGCAGCAAAACAGUCAAUGUAAACUUCCAACGGCUAUUUUGAUAGCAGAACUAUAGCAAAACAUCUAAAGUUUGCACUAAGGUCUCAAGUGAUCCUUUCAGAUGAAUUAGAAAGGAAAAUAUUAUUACCUGUGUUAGACACCAUUGUUGAAGUCAUAGCAAAUAGCCUGCAAAUAUAAUAACAACAUUUACAUUAGUUUAUGAAACUACUGUUAUUAUUUUUUUACAAGGAUAUGUAAAUGAAUAAUAAGAGUAUUUUAAGUUACAUAUAUACUGCACCUUGAGAGACCAGCCAUUGAUGUGCCAUUGUAGCUUUUGAAAAUAAUAUAGUAUACACAAAGUGAAUUUGUAGAAGCUAGUUAUACAUUUAUUAAACAAAUAAACUUGAAAAAAGAAUUAGAUGACCAAAUUAUAAGUGUAAGCAUUAUAAUAUAAUUACCUUUAAUAUUUUUGGAGCAUUUGUUGCAGAAACCAUAGCUAUGAGAAGAAAUCGUGUCAUCAACGUCUGAAAAACAAUGUAAUUUUCAGUCCCAUAUAUGAUUAAUAUACACCAUUAAUAGUCUAGUUUUGGGCAUUAAAAGGAUCUAAAUUGAUAUAUGUAAAGGUUUACCAAAUAAAAGGAACAAUUUCUUUUGUCAUGGGAGCAAGUCAUUUGCCAUUUUUAAGAAUUUUAAAAAUCUUAAUUUAAAACUAGUAAAAUGAAGGCUCAAUGUAGUUGGAGGACAAUUGUUAAAUGAUAAAAAACUACUUAUCUUCUACCCACUGAAAGAGAGUAGCAAUUGAAUCUUAAAUAAAAAUAGUAAAAGUUCAAAGAGAAUUUUAUUUCUAUACAAAAUGGUUGCCAAACAAAUUGUGCUGCAGAGCACAUACCUUGAAGCCACAACAGUACAUGCAUUUAUGAUCAAGUCUUGCUUUAAAGUUUGGAUAGAAGCAUAUGUUACAAUAGAUGCAGAAAUUGUGCCAACACUAUCAACCUCUGAAAGGAUUAGGUUCAAGUUAGCAAAAAGAGAAUCAUGAAUUUCAUAUUCCUGUUGAAUACAUGUGUGCCAAUGUCAAUGCCAUUUGCAUCUAGGGGCAUUGCAUAGCUUCACACAUGCUAGCAAUGCCCACUUAAAUGUAGGCUAUUCUGAAUCUACCCAACAAUAGCAUUUUGGUAUAGAUCAUAGCAUGAAUAUGAAUUCUAUGUUCUGUAAAAGUUAACAAUUAAAGGCCUACAAGUUAUUAAGCACGGUUUCCUUAAGGAUCUAAUGUAUGAUAAAUAUGUUAGUCUUUUAUCAAAUUUCUUAUUAAUGUGAUUCUUAAAGUUCCAUAAAGCAUUAGAGAAAGCGUAGCCAAAAAACAACCAUGGCAAUUAACUAAUAUUUGGAACAUAAUACAAAAAGAAAAUAGAAAUUACCAACACAAAUAAUAAGGAUAAAAUACUAACCUAAAGAUGUGUCUUUUCCUAGCCAUAUUAUAUCUAGGUGGAGGUCUUUGUAAGUACUAUGAUACCUAACCCAAGGGAUCCUUUCUGGAAAUCUGAUCAGUUGUAUUAACCCAUCAAACUUAAGACCAACCAAUGAACAUAAAUAGAACUCAGUUUAUAAGCAUAUCUAGCUAAAGCACAAAUAUGCUAUUGCCAAAGGUUAGAACAAUAACCAAUACACCCUUCUGAAGAGCUUGCUCUGGUAGUACCAAAAUCGGAACACAAAAGUACACUUGCAAUGUGUAAAUUAUAGUUGCACAUCAAAAGCUCAAUCAGCACAACAAAAUUUACAUAGGCAAGCAAACCUUUUUAACUCAACAAUGAUGCACACUUCAAAACUUAAUAUUUUGCGACCUACACUCGUUAAAAGUUUAGUAAUUCACAAAUUGCAGUUUAAAAAAAAGUUAAAUGGCCUGCCGAGGAUCAAUCAAACUAAUUGAAAACAAAACCAUCUUAACAUAAAUCCGAUUUUUUACAUAUGUACAUAUUCUUUAAAUACAAUUGAUUGCAAAGAGUGUAAGAACUGACCUGAAAGAGCACAGAUGCUCAUAUAGAUAAAUAAACAUUGCAAUAUUUAAGUGCUUUAACAAUAAUUUAAUUUAAUACUAAACACAAACAAAAUCAAUUGAGAACUGGCCUGAAAGUGCAUUAGACAUAUCAAAGAGGAACAAUCUAGUUAGAUACUUCUCUAAUGCAGUUGAGGCUUCAAUAAUACAAACAUUCUUGAUACUGAAAUGACAUCUAAAGGAACAUGGCUAUCGAAACCAGAGCAGUCUACAAGAUUACCAAUUCUAGUUGUACUCAAAGAAACUGGACUCCUAAAAAUAGCAAAUUUUGACAAAAAUAAUUUUAGUAUCUAAAUUUUCUUUUUUUAAAAAAAACUAAUAAAAGGAAAGGUGAAACUGAUUUAUUAAUCUUAUCUUUAUCAUUCAAGGUAAACAGUGUAACUCCAUAUGUAGCCCAUAACCAGCCUAAUAAUGAAUGCAGCAAAUGAAAUGAAUGUUAAAACACUAAACUAAAAAGAACUUCAGUAACUAGAAACCUAAAUAAAAGUGAACCAAUAAGAACAGAGUGUAAUUCUCAGCCCAUAGGAAGGGAAACUCUAUCAACUAUGAAAUAUAGGGACCAAUGUAGGAGGCAGACGUUCAUUUUUCUCAAUUAUCUGAUCCUCUUCUUCAAUUGCCCCAAAGACAUUGGCUCUGAGUUCAGCCUAGCAAACAAACUGAUUUGAGUCGGUUACAAUGGCAUAAAAAUUGAAUUAAAAGGAAAGACUUUACUAUAAUUAAAAUAUUCAUCGAAUAUUAAGAAAACACCAAAAAUAAAAUUUUGGGCAAAACCCAUCAAUCCAGUCAGAGUUAUGACCUUCCAGAUAACAUCAAUCAGCCAUAAAUCUAUUUAACUUUAUCUUUAAACCCUAAUUUCUCUUCAAUUUCCUAUUAAAGAAAUUUAACCACACAAUAUAGAUGAGAUCUAUAAAAUGCAAAAAAAAAAAAAAAAUGCAUUGCACGAGAUUAGACAUAAAACAAGAGCUAAACUAAUUUCAAAUUUCUUCUCUUUUUUCUUCAGCAAUUCUUCGCGACAACUAUGGGGAAAUGAAGAAGACGAAGUGGUAGUUGGGUAUACUCAUACCCGGAUCUUAGAGAGGACGCCUUUCUUCUCUAGCAUUCUGGUGACUAGGGUUUUGAGGUCCAUAUUUCUCGACUGUAAUCCUUUAUUUUUGAAUAAGCUUGCUCUCUGUCUCUCUUUCACCGUUGCUUCUGCUGUUUGUGUGCGAGAAAUUAAGACUUUGAUAGAGGAGAAACCAAUAGAGUAGUACUAGGAGGGAAGAAAUGUCCAACAUCCUUUUUUUUUUCAAUAAUGGCGUUUGAGAUUGCGGCAAGAUGAGGGAAGUCAGUAUCGGGAGAAGUCGAGGGUUUUCAGUUUCGGUCUUCGUCUUUCAGGGAUUUUCCGUGGUAUACCCCAAAAAUAGGGUAUUUAUCUAAAAAUACUCCAUAUUCAAAAAUUCCUCUUAUAUGCCUUUUUCUAAUAUGCAGUUACGAAAUUACCCUAAUAAAAAACUUAAAUUAACCAAACUAUCACAACUAAUCAUGUAACAAAACCCCUAAUUCUCUCUCAUGAGCAGCGUCUCCUUCAGCUCGUUCUUCUGGAUUUCUCCUCCUCCAUUUUACCAAUCCCUGCAAUUUUACAACAAUUCUUCUACACUCUCACCGAAAUGCAGCAAAACAAGUAAAACAACGCCGCUUCUGUGCAAACUAGUAGCUGCAAUUCCCCCACUCUCCUUCAGCGUGUCCUCCUCCAUUUUACAAAUCCCUGCUAUUUUACAACAACUCUUCUACACGCUCGUCGAAACACGGAAAAACAAGUAAAACGAGAAAUUGAUUGUAACCCUUGUGCUUUGAAGGUAAUUUAUCAAUUUAAUAUAUGUGGAAAUGUUAGGUGGGACUAGGAUUUUGCUUUCCAUCCAUGAGGAGUUGUAUCUUCAUCUUGAAAAUGAUUGUUCUGGCAUACUCCGGAAUUCAGGAGUAGCUUUUCAAUAGCUCAUCUCUAAACAAAUUUUUAACAUUACAAAAGAGAUAUUUUACAUUUUCCAUGAACUUCUAGACUAGGAGUUGUCUUGAAAUUAGUUCAUGAAGCUGUGAUAAAUCAUUGAACAAAUUCAUUGCAUUUUAUUUGAUUAAUAAUGUUAGAUUAGGAAAGAGAAAAAGAUGAGUAACUUGUGGUUUACAAAUUUGUCACAAGGUGAUGAGAACUAUGGAAAAACUGGGAACCACUCCCCCCCCCCCCCCCCAAAAAAAGAAAGAUUGUGACUUCUCCAGUGAUGCAUCUCAAUCUUACUACCUGUAUGAUUUAACCGUAUUUAUGAAUGAAUAUCUAUGAUUGCUUAUGAUAUCUGAAGUUCUAACUGAAAGGGAUUGGAAAAUUGAGGAAACAGUUUGUGCUAACUAACAUAGUGGAUUUUUAAUUUCUAACUAAGACAGGGUAUAAUUACUUUUUAAAAGAAGGGGGGUGGAGAUACUAAUGUACUUCUGGAGACCAAUCACGUUAUGAUUCUUAUUUGUUAAUAUGGUUCGAUAUUUAAGUAAAGAAGUGACCUUUUGUUAUUGUUAGAUGAGUUUGUUAUCAAAUUGUGUAUUCUGCUUGUUCUUAUUUGAUUUUCACUGAUACGGUUUUAACAUCCAAAUUCACCAAUGGACUCAUUACGCAAAUGAAGAAAGAAUGUGAUUUUGCAAACUUAUGUGACUAUUUAUUCUCUUUGUAGAGCUUAAGUCGCGUGCUUCUAGUUAUGGUUCUCUGCUUUCUAAUAUUUAUAGUUACCCCUUUCUAUUCUUUUUCUCUUUGAUGGUAUGAGAAGAGUCAAAACUUUUAUUAGCUGCAGAAUUUUUUAUGACGUUGUCUGCAAAUGCCACUGUAGUCUCAAAGCAAGCAGGUUGAGGAGGUUACAUGUAAUCCUGGAUUUUAUAGAACUUCCAAUUAGUUGUUCCUUGAGGCUCACUAGAGGUACCAUACAACUCUUGGUUUGUUUAUCAUGUGUAAGAGCAAUAUAUUUGGUUCAUUCUUAUUCAAUUUUUUUAGUGGUGAUUGUGGAGCAUUUUUGUUGCGGUACUUGGAGGUCCUAGCCCAUGGACUUGAUGUCAAUUCAUAUUGCCAACAAGAUCAUGUUUCACAAUUUCGAAAAACCUUGGCUGUAAAAUUAUUUGGGCUUAGGUCAUGGAAAAAAACUUUGUAGUGUCAUUUUUUUGGACUAUGAGAUGUAAUAGUUAUGAUGAGGAUGUUAUUGAUAUUUGAUGUCAUUAAAGAUAACUUGACAGCAUUAAUAUAUUUUAUUUCUUUGUUAAUUAUAUUAAUGAUAGAUAAGAUAGUUUGUACAAUCUAUGUGAUAUAACAUGAUUGCCAUAUAUGCACAGGGAAUACACUGUAAGAAAAUACACGACUGCAGUCGGGUAUUUGCACAGAUACACGACUGCAGUCGGGUAUUGACAAAUAAACAUGACAAGCUCUCUGUGACAAAAUACACGACUGCAAUCGGGUAUUUGCACAGAUACACAACUGUAGUUGGGUAUUUAGAAAUAUUGCAGUCGGAUAUUUGCACAGAUACACAACUGCAGUUGGGUAUUUAGAAAUAAACAUGACAAGCUCUCUAUGACAAAAUACACGACUGCAGUCGGGUAUUUUCACAGAUACACGACUGUAGUCAGGUAUUUAGAAAUAAACAUGACAAGCUCUAUGUGACAAAAUACACGACUGCAGUCAGGUAUUUGCACAGAUACACGACUGUAGUCGAGUAUUUAGAAAUAAACAUGACCAGUUCUGUAAUAGCCAUAUUACACGAUUGUACUCAGGUAUGUGUACAGAAGAAAAACUCUUUUCAAUCAUUCAUUAUAUUGAUGACACAAUCAAUAUAGACUUUAACAUAUCAAACUUCAAAUAAAUGAAACUAACUGUAGUCCGGUUGCCUAUCAAAUAACAUAAAUCCAAUACGUAUUGAAAUCGUAAAUAAGUCGUAAUACAAUAGAAGUUGUUUAACAUUCAUCAUAAAUUUUAUAAGCCUCUGGUCGCCUCCCUUCAAUACUUAUUCUUAGAAAGCUACACAAAUACGUUUAUUCAUCUGCGAAAUAAAAAAGGUAGAAAUUUAUCACUAAAUAUGAAAGAUAUUCAAAAAAUUAAAACAACAAAAAAUAACAAGUAUAUAAGGUUCAUAGUAGUACAUGUGCUUGUUUAUGUUUCAUUUGGUCUAACUAUGGGCUCAUUGUUAGACAGUGAGAUUGGUGCACUGCAAGUUAGUCGAUUAUGUCUUCGAGAACCACACCUACCACACUUACAGCGCAACUUCUCUUCGCCUUGUGAUGUUAUCCUAAUUUGUUGUGGUCGACCUUUUUUCCGCUUUUCCAUAGGGGGCAAAACCUCAUUACUGUAAUAAUACAACAGUUGAUUAUACAACAAAUACAAAAAUAAAAUCAAACAAGAUUUAUAACGAAGUGUGGAUAUGUCUGCCUAUUUACACGACUAACGUCGUGUAAUUGAUAGUUUACACGACAAUAGUUGUGUAACUUGCUAAAAUACACAACUAUAGUUUUGUAAACAAUUAGAUGAUAUAUUUAAUAAAAUAUAAUUGUAAUCUUUAUACUAACAGAAUGCUAGGUGUCAUAACAACUACUAUAUCUUUCAAACUUGCACGGUUGUUGUCGUGUAAAUUCAUAAAUACAUGACAGAAGUGGUGUAAGUUGCAAAAAUACAUGACUUAGUAAAUAAUCAGAGGACAUAUUUCUUCUUAAAAAAAUGUUGGGAUCUCAUAACAAUUGGAACAUUUUACAUAUAUACACAAUUAUAGUAUGUAAGUUUAUACGUACACGCUAGUAGUCAUGUAACUUAUUAACACACACGAUUAUAGUCCAGUAAUAGUAAAAGGAUAUAUAUAGUGAAAAAAAUAUAUUUUUUGAACCAAUAGAAUGAUAAGGUGUUAUAAUAAUUGAAAUUUUUUGCACAUUUUUACGACUAUAGUCGUGUAAAUACAUACAUACAUGACUGUUGUCGUGUAUGUCGGGUGCAGAAAAAAAAUUGACAACAACUUCAGGUUUUAACGAAUGUAGUUAUAAAAUCCAUCAAAUAAUAGUCAUAUGAUGCAAAUGUAAUGAAAAUAUGAGUUGCUUUAGUGUUUAUCACAAACCAAACAAAACCCUAAAAAUAAUAUAAUGUCAACAAAUUGAAUAAAUAGCCCAAAAUUUAAAAAAAAAAAGUUUCAAAUACCUUAUUCAUGGGAUGAAUAAUACACCCAGCUGCAAACAAAAAUCUCAGUACAUUAGCUAUUUGUGAGUGAUUUUGAGUGUGGUGUGAGUUUUUGUUGUGUGGAGUAAACAAAAAGAGUGAGAAGUAAAGAGUGUUGUGAGUUGUGUGUGUUUUAUAUUUUUCUUUAGGGAUAUUUUAGACAAUGUACCACAUAAAAAGGCAUAGUUAAAUAAUUUUCAAGCAUGGGGUAUAUUUAACUAAAUACCCUACUUUUAAGGCAUAUUUAAUAAAAAACCCCUUUGUCUUUUGUGUGUAUGUUGUGAAAAAUACUUAGACAAACAUACUUUUAAAAUUUAUUUUAGAAUUAAAAAUUUUAAAAAUUUAAUAUUUUAAAUUUAUGAUCAAAACGUCGUCGUUCCAACUUAUGCGAAACGAUGACGUUUCUUGAUUCAUAUAACAUUUUGCUUAAAAAAAAACUCAAAAUUUUGGUCAAAAUAGCGCCAAAGUAAAGUCAACAUUAAAAAUAGUGUAAUUGUUCACAUAUUAAGUAAUGAAUUAUAAGUUGACAUGUGGCUAAAUAAAAAAAAAAUUCGUGAUAAAAAAUUAUUCUAUCACAAAACCAUUAUUAAUUCCUGAUAAAAAAUAAUUUUAUCACAAAACCAUCAUUAAUCCGUGAUAGAAAAUAAUUCUAUCACAAAACCAUCAUUAAUCUGUGAUAGAAAAUAAUUCUAUCACAAAACCAUCAUUAAUCCGUGAUAGCAAAUAAUUCUAUCACAAAACCAUCAUUAAUCCAUGAUAUCAAAUAAUUCUAUCACAAAACCAUCAUUAAUCCGUGAUAGAAAAUAAUUCUAUCACAAAACCAUCAUUAAUCCAUGAUAGAUUAAAAAUUUUAUCACAAGUCUAUUAUAUUUUUAUGAUAUAAGCCAAGUCAGUCACAAGUUAUCUAUCAUCUAUUGCCAGUUUUCUUGAAGUGGUGGGUGUAUAAAAAAAUAAAAAAAUAAAAAAAUAAUUAUGAGUAUGGGUUUAAUAAAGGACUGUUUUGGUAUUUGAAAAGUGUGCUAGUAAAAAUUAUAUUUUAAAAUUUAUUAAAUGAGUGUGCAGAGUAAUAGAGUGCUCAAAAUAAACUUUAGAGUAUAACUUUAGAAAGUUAAGAUUAUAUGUAGUGCUUUAUAUGUUCAUUAGACAUUUUAGUGCGAUCGUUCAACCUUUAAUGAAAUCAUACUAGUUAAUCACAAUAAUGAUUGGUUAAUUUUAAAAUUAGAUAUAUUUAUGGGAAGAUUUUAUUACUUACAUAAAUGAUGUGAUAGACAUGUUCCAUUUUGCACAUGCUGCGCGGAGUUUUUGGUUUUCAUGGCUAAUUGUGGCUACUUGUUGUUAUUAAGGUGCAAAUUUGAGGGACGUACCAGGUCUACCGAUUGAUAAAAAGAACAGGGUAGCACUGAUGUCUUACUUACCGUCCAUUAGUACUUGGAAUUAAUUAACUACAUUUGCACUUAGAGUUAAAAUCCCACUGCCACUAGAAUAUGAGUAGAGAUGGCAAAUAUCCAAUUAUGGAUGGAUAAUAUCCAUCCAAAUACAAAUCCAUAAUUAUCCAUGAUAGAUAUAUCCAUAUCCAUAUCCAGUAUUUAAUAUUGGACAUGGAUAUGGAUUUUAUCCAUAAAGAUAUGGAUAUCCACGGAUAUCCAUGAAUAUUUUAUUUUUAUUAUAUAAAAAAUAAUAAUAAAAUAAAAUAAAAAAUAGUUAAAAACAGUAUUAAAUUCUAAUAUCAAAUAAAAAAUAAUAAACAUAACAAAUAUCAAAACUAUGAAUUAAAAAAAUUAUAAUAUGAAAUUACAAAUUAAUUUCAAAUUAAAUACAAAAAGUUCAUUCCUCUAACGCAUCAUUAAUCUCCAAUCUUCUAACACAUCAUUAAUCUCCAACUAGAUCAUCAUCAUUAAUCUGCAAAUUCAAACAAAACACAGAUAAUAUUAAAUGCACAAUGAGCCAAAUGAAAAAUGAAAGAAGCUUGAUAGUGUAAGUUCAGCCAGUUGUGACAGUUACCUGCGGAUAUGAUGAGUGCCUGACCAGUAUAAUUCAGGUUUGCCUUUGUCCAAGGAAUUUUUCAAACUGUAACCAACUGAUAACAAAAAGUAAAUGAGAAAAUGACAGAAAAAAGCCAGACCUGCCAUUUGAUGCAUGAAUAGAGCAGAUAUGAACUAAACAGGAAAUUCUGAAACCAUAUAAUUUGCCACCAUGGCCAUAACAAAUGAAAUAUCUUUGGCAGCCGGAUAGAUUUUCAAAUCAAGUGAAACUUAAGAUGAAUAACACAGGACAAAAGAUUAGGUAAUAGAAGACAGGGCCACAGAACAGAACACCAGGGAUCUGUAACAUUGAGGUCCUUUCCUAAAAAUAUACUCUUCAAUUAGGCACAACAAUAAGCAUCAAGCACAUACCAAAAAAAGAAAAUAAACACUAUUCAGAACAUGGUUGGGUCUCCUCUUCAUCAUCAUUAUCAGUCACUUCUCCAUUUAUUUCUUCCCCAUUCAUCACUUUAUCUUUAGGAAUCUCACCUAAUUUAAAAAAAAAACUUGUAAAAUAUAAAAAAAAACAAAUACUAUCAAAAUCAAAUAAGUGCAUAAGUGAGCUGAAUUUGAUACCUUUUAAUUGAGCCCAUAUCCAAUUCUGAGUACACAUUAAGGCCUCUACUGUACUCGGAUGAAGUCUACUACGAUGUGGGCUUAAACAUCGACCUCCCGCACUAAAAGCAGAUUCGGAAGCAACUGUGGAGACCGGAACAGCCAGCAAAUCUCUAGCAAUCUCAGACAAUAUCGGAUAUCUACUUCUAUUCACCUUCCACCACAUUAAAAUAUCGAAGUCUGGAGUAGUCUUAUCCUCUUCUUCCAAGUAAGUAUCUAACUCCGACUUAACUCGUUUACGAAUAUGUUGGCUUUUGAAUGCAUUAAAUUUUUGCACAUCCCACAUACCCAUCACAACUGAACUAGAAUUAGAAUUACAAACAACACUAGACUCACCAAAUCCUUCAGCCAAAUUCGAUCCAACCACACUCUUUUUUUUAUAUUCUGAAUAUAAGUCAGAACAGAGAGUACGGAUUCUAUCAAUAUGAGUUGAUGCAUCACUACCAUAAAUCUGAGGAAAGAAAUAAUCCACUAGAACCAUUUUGUAUCUAGGAUCCAAUACAACAGCAACAGCCAUUACACCAUGGAUUUCAUCCCAAUAUUUUCCAAACUUUUCUAACAUACUUUUCGCCAUAUUUUUUAUCACAUCACAUGAAGAAUUAAGCCAAGCAUUCAAUGAUAAUCUAAUUUCACAAAUUAUUGGAAAAAAUAAGUUAGCCAUAUAUUAUAUAUACUAGCAGAUUCUUUGAAGAAAGUAACCACUGCAUAUUGAAACUCUUCCAAUUCCUCUCUCUCUCUCUCUCUCUCUGUACACACACACACACACAGAGCCAUGUAAACAAAAAUAAGAAAAAUAAUGGAAGCCAUAAAGGCAUAAGAUUUUAGGCUUGUAAAAGCUUAUUUCAUGUUUAAUCAUGGAGCCAAAUUCAUAAACUAAAUUAAACCCCAUCCAGCAAUUAAUCAAAAUCUAGAUUUGUGACUGACAAAAGGUGAAGAAAAUAUUUGCAUAAUUUUAGUAAAAUCACCAGAAAUACGGUGAAAAUGCUGGGUACUGUGAAGAUCAAUCAAAGCCAAAUAUAUAUUAAACGGCUUAUAAGCUUCAGCAAUCAAAACUUACCUUGCGCGGGAGACAACGAACAGGCGGACGGACGACGGUGGUGGCAGCGACGACAGAGACGAUGGUAGCUGGAACGAGGCAGAAAAACGCUCAAGAACAGCUGGAAGCUGCAGUUACGGCUGAUCAACCAUUGGUACAGCGCCGGCGCACCUAAACGGAACCCCCGGAAAGCGGCGUCGGAGUUGGGGAAGAGCGUCGGUAAGCAAAGACCGGCCGGCGAGCGAUGUGAUAAUCUUAGGUUUUGCUAUCCAGACAUUUGUUUUUGCUUAUUUCAUUUUAGUUUUACGAUUUUAAUUUUUUAAUUUCAAAUAAGAUAUUAAUUGGAUAUUGGGUAUCCAUUGGAUAUCCAUACCCAUCCAAUUUUUAUUUGGAUAUUUUUUAAAAAUAUCCAUAUCCAUAUCCAAAAAAUUUUGGAUGGAUAUUAUCCAAUCCAAUUGGAUUGGAUGUAUGGAUAUCCAAUUUAAAUGGACCAAAUUGCCAUCCCUAAAUAUGAGCCUUCCUUCUUCAGUGCCAGCUAUAAGGAUGAAAGUUAAUAAUCGAUGGACGAAACUUCCUUUUGAAAUAGAGAUUGAGAAUGUCAAAUUCAAGCAUUUUGGAGCAGUUACUAAGGUAACUAAGGGGAUGUAAGAUUUUAUUUUAUGUUUUGUUAGAUUAAAAUAUGAUGAUGAGUUAACACCUAGAAAAAUGUUUGAGGAACUAAAGUUUGACAAAAAGCUGGCAAAAACACACUCAAAACAACGUUGUUUUGUUUUUUUUUUUGUUUUAAAAAAAAUAUUAAAUUCACUCAAAAUGAUGUUAUUUUGAUUAUAUUUUUGUCAUCCUUUUGUCAGGCUUGAGUUUAUAGCAGUACUCUAGUACUUAAUAUUGUUGUUACAAAAAUUUAAUUCAUCUCUCUUUCUUUUUAAUUUUAUUUUUUGGUGAUCAUUUAUACAUUUAAAAAAUAGGCGUUAUGUUUGUGAAGAGGAAAAUGACAAUAUUGAUAUAAGUAUAUCAACCAAAAGGAAAACAAGUCGCAAGGUAAUUAACUAGUUAAGCUCCUUAAUCCUUAUUAUCUUACAACAGAAAAUUAACUAGUUUAUUUUUGGAUUAAUAUUAUAUUCUUGAGUUUUAUUUUCAGGAAAAUGAAAAGUUCUUACUGCUGGGCCCUUCGGCUCCUUCCUCGGGCCCUCUUCUGGGCACUCAGACCGUCAUUCUAUAUAAAUGACCAAUUCUUAAAAAAAAAAAGAAGUAAAUUGUUAUAAACUAAUAGGUGAACUUUCACCAUUUAUCUCAAAUUGGUAAAUCAUCAUUUACCCCUUAGCUUUCCAACUCUAUAUAUGUAAUGUAUUCAUUCGCAUUGGUAACAAUAAAAUUCGAAAGCUUAUCAAUAAUAAGCUUAGUAAUAAGGUACUUUUAAGUACUUUGUUUAAUUCAAAAUUUUUCUGUUAUCUAUUUAUUUUAUAACAUGCUAUCAACAUGAUGGCUGAUUUGACGUGAGUAGUUGAAUUUUUAUUACUUGUGUUUAUUUAUGUUUAUUUCUUUUAUGUUUUGUCAUCAUUAUUAUGAGUUAUUACUUGUGUUUAUUUAUGUUUAUUUCUUUUAUGUUUUAUCACCAUUAUUAUAAGUUUGUUAUAUUGUUUAUUUUUUAUGAACUUUUUUAUGGCUGGUUCUAUAAUACCGCCUAUAUUAUUAUUAUUAUCUUUAUAUUAAUAUGUUAUUAUUCUAAUAUUGAUUUACAUGGUUGGUUCAACCGCCUGUCUUGUUUUAACUUAUCUGCUUGUAUGACUUGUUCAACCGCCUACCCUAUUUAAUUUAUUUGCUGAUAUGGCUGGUUUAAUUACCUAUUAAGUUAUUUUAAUUUCAAUAAAUUAUAACUUGUUCUUGCAUAUACUUGUCUUUGAAUAUUAUUGUUAUAUUCUGAAGUCUACAACACAAAUGAGGUGGUGAGAACUUGAAGUUCUAAACAACUACAUAAAGUUUCUACAUAUUCUAUAAUUUCUGUUUUUUUUAUACUUAAAUAUUUAUAUUGUGACACUUAUUUCUAUUUUCUUUAAUCAUUAAUAAUAAGGGUCCUAGAGAAAUGGCAACUCUCACGAAUAUGCAAAUCCCUGCUCUUGAAGUUUGGGGAGGAAACUACCUUUCUUGGGUAUUGGAUGCCAAAAUGCAUUUGCAAGCUAUGAGCCUAGAAGGCACUAUAGUAGAAGGAAACGAGGCAUCUCUCUGGGAAAAAUCAAAGGCCAUGGUUUUCCUCCGCCGCCAUAUACAUAAGAGCUUGAAAGCUCAAUAUCUAACAGUGGAGGAUCCACUAAUUUUAUGGAGUAACCUCAAGGAAAGAUUUGACUAUCAGAGGGAUAUUUCCCUACCAAAUGCCAAACACGAGUGGUUAAACUUGAGAUUCCAAGAUUAUACAAGAGUCUCUGAUUACAACUCUAUUAUGUUCCACGUAAGCCUAGAACUACAAUUGUGUGGGGUAGAAAUUACAGAUAGAGAUAUGCUUGAAAAGACACUCAUUACUUUUCAUGCAUCAAACGUUGUCUUACAACAAUAAUACCAGGAGUGUAGAUAUAGCAAAUAUUCUGAAUUGAUAACAACUCUUUUAAUUGUUGAGAAAAACAAUGACCUCCUGAUAAAAAACCAUGAGUUAUGCCCAAUUGGCUCUUAACCAUUCCUAGAAGCGAAUGUGAAUACAUGUAGCAAUCGUGAACGUAAUCAAGGAGGUAAAAGAGAUCUUGGUCACUACCAUCGUGGUGGUUAUAGGCAUGAAGGACAAUAAAACAACAAAUAUGGAUGCCACCAAAAGUGAAAUGUUUAUGAGAGACCUAAAUCCAAUGAUGCAAGAAAGAAUAAUGUUAGAAAUGAUAAUGGAGAAAUAUGUUAUCGACGUAGCAGGACAUUGGUCACAAACUUGUCGGACUGAAAAAAAUUUGGUGGACCUUUAACAGGCAUCCAAGAAAGGAAAGGGAAAAAUUGAGACAAAUUUAGUCGAGAACUCAGAUCUUGUCGAUUUGACUCAUCCGGAUGCCUUUGAUUUUUUUGAAGACAUGGAGGGAAAAAUGAUAAAUUAAGUAAUAAUAGAAAUGUCCAAACUUUUAUGCUAGUUGCUAAUAUGCUAACUUUUGUAUCUAUUUGUAGUUUUAUCAAUUGUACUCAAUGUUUAUUUUGAUGUUUAACACUUUGGUUUAAUGAAGGUUAUGGAUUUUAGAAAUCAAUUAUCUAUUUUAGAAUCAAAGGCUUAAGAUGUUUACUUGGCUGACAGUGUAACCACACACACUAUUCUUCAAGAUAAAAAAUAUUUCUUAGAGAUAAAAUUACUUGAAGGAAAAAUAAAUAUGAUAUCUAAUCCUGCAAACUAAAAUUACUUGAAAGAAAAGUAAAUACUAUAUCUGGUCAUGCAGACCUAAUAGAAGGCUCUGGAAGUGCUAUACUUUUGCUGGCAAGCGGAACAAAACUAAUAAUUCAGAAUGUUUUAUAUUCAGCAAAAUCUAAAAGAAAUCUACUAAGCUUUAAAGAUAUCCACCGAAAUGGAUAUCAUAUUGAGACUUCCAAUGAAAAUAAUGUGGAAUAUCUCUACAUUACUAAAAAUGUCUUAGGAAAGAAAUAUAGACUGGAAAAACACAAAGCAUUCCCAGAUUGUAUUAUACAAUCAUAAAUGCAAUUGAAAGCCACGCAGUGAUGAAUUAGAAGUUCACAGAUCCAAGAUAUUUAUGUUGCGGCACGAUCGUCUCGGACAUCCUAGAUCUACAAUAAUGUGUAGAAUUAUUGAAAAUUCUUAUGGACAUCCAUUAAAGAACCAGAAGAUUUUAUUGUCCAAUGAGAUUGUUUGUAUCGCUUGCUCACAAGGAAAAUAUAUAGUUAAACCAUUUCCUUUCUAAGGUUGGUUAUGAAUCUCUAAUGGUUCUGCAAAGAGUUCAAGGAUAUAUAUGUGGGCCAAUCCAUCCACCUAGUGGACUGUUUUGUUACUUUAAGGUGUUGAUUGAUGCAUCUGCAUGGUGGUCACAUGUUUGUUUAUUAUCCACCCUCAACGUUGCAUUUGCAAGAUUACUUGCCCAAAUUAUAAGAUUAAGGGCAUAAUUUCUAGAUUAUCCAAUCAAAACCAUACAUCUAGAUAAUACUGGUAAUUUACAUCUUAGACAUUUGAUGAUUACUGUACAUCAGCAGGUAUCGAUGUUGAGCAUCCAAUUCCACAUGUACAUAUACAAAAAUAGAUUGGCAAAAUCAUUUUUAAGCAAUUGCAGGUAAUUGCAGGAACUUUGCUUAUGCAUACAAAAUUACCAAUAUAUGCAUGGGGUCAUGCUAUUUUACAUGUUGCAGCAUUAGUUCGUGUUAGACCCAUCACUUAUCAUCAAUAUUCUCCAUCACAGCUUGUACUUGAUCGACAACUUGACAUUUCCCAUCUACACAUUUUUGGUUGUGUUGUGUAUGUUCUUAUAUUUAUGUUGGCUUUAAAUCACCUUUAAUUAUCAGAUAUCUUGAACCCUUGAUGGGUGAUCUUUUCACCACACGUUUUGCAGAUUGUCACUUUGAUGAGACAAUUUUUCUAUCAUUGAGAAAUGGAAAGCCUCUUGAAGUAAGGCAUGAAUUCUCUUGGAAAGUUCCCACUUUGUCUCACCUAGAUCCUCGCACCAAUCAAUGUGAAAAUGCAGUGCGAAGGAUAGUACAUUUACAGCAAAUUACAAAUCAAUUAUCAGAUGCCUUUACAGAUAUAGUGAAGGCAACCAAGUCACACAUUCCAACUGCUAAUACGUCAGCCCGGGUGGUUGUUCCUGUUGAAUAAUCAAGUGUAAAAGUGGUAACUUAUUUAUUAGGCUACAAAAACGUGGUAGACCACUUGGUUCCAAAGACAGUGCUCCCUAAAAGAAGAGAAUAAAAAAUCAGGAUCCUGUUGAAAAUAAAGCUCGAGCUAUAGACAUACCCACAUUAUCUAACUCACUAGAAGAACUGAUGGUUCCUUAAGAGGCACAUGUUCCUAAAGAGACAGUAACCCAUGAAGAGGUAGGAGAAUAUAAAAAUGAGGAAAAAUCCGUAAAUUUUACUUAUACAAAGGAAAUAUGGGAUCAUAAUAAAAUAAACAUCGACAAUGUGCUUUCAUUCACAGUAGCUAUUGAAAUUACAAAGGAUUUCGAGCAUAAAAUUGAUGAUGAAUGUAGGCAAAGGCAUGAUUGGCCUCAAUGGAAAGAUGCGAUUCAAGCAGAAUUAAGUUCUCUGGCUAAACAUAAAGUCUUUGGACUUGUAGUUCAGACACCUAAAGAUGUCAAACCCGUUGGAUACAAAUGGGUAUUUGUAAGGAAACGUAAUGAGCAUAAUGAAAUUACCAGAUAUAAAGCGCGACUAGUCACACAAGGUUUCUCCUAGAGACCUGGUAUUGAUUAUGAGGAUACAUAUUCUCAGAUGCUAUUAUGUUUCAAUUUCUAAUCAGCUUAGUAGUCUCUGAAAGACUUGACAUGCGUCUCAUGGAUGUAGUGACCGUAUAGAUGUAUGGGUCACUCGACAUUAUUUUUUUAUGAAAAUCCUUAAAGGAUUCAAAAUGCAUGAAGCGUUUAAAUAAAAAAGAUCGUAAUCUAUGUUCAGGGAAAUUAGCAUGGUCAUUAUACAGAUUAAAACAAUCUAGAUGCAUGUGGUACAAUCAUUUGAGUGAAUAUUCGAUUAAAGAAGGAUACAAAAAUGAUUCAAUUUACCCAUGCGUAUUCAUUAGAAAAUCAGAAUCUGGAUUUGCAAUUGUAGCAGUCUAUGUUGAUUACAUGAAUUUAAAUAGAACUCUUGAAGAGCUCCUAAAAACUACUGAAUAUUUAAAGAGAGAAUUUGAAAUGAAAUAUUUAGGGAAAAUAAAAUAUUGUCUCGACCUAUAGAUCGAGCAUAAAACAAACGGAGUGCUUAGUCAUCAAUCACCUGAUAUUGAGAAAAUAUUAAAACGAUUCAAUAUGGAUAAUGUUCAUCCAAUAAGCACUCCUAUGGUUGUUCGAUCUCUCGUUCCUAAAAAGGAUCCAUUCCGGCCCAAAGAGGAUGACAAAAAGAUACUUGGUCCAGAAGUGCCAUAUUUAAAUGCAAUCGGCACUUUAUUAUAUCUAGCUCAAUGCACCAAACUAGACAUUGCAUUCUUUGUGAACUUAUUGGAGAGAUUUAGCUUAGCAUCCACACAUUGACAUUGAAAUGACAUCAAACAUAUGUUUCGAUACCUUCGUGGAACGUCAAACUUGGGUUCUUUCAAACGAGCCAACAGAGAAUCCUAGUCUUAUCGAUUAUGCAGACACAGGUUACCUAUUUGAUCCCCACAAAGUCCGCUCACAAAUAGGAUAUGUUUUCACUUACAAUGGAACAACAAUUUCGUGGCGAUCUACAAAGCAAACUUUCGUUGCCACCUCUUCUAAUCACUCAGAGAUCUGUACACUGUAUGAAGCAAGUAGAGAGUGUAUUUGGAUGCGGUCUAUUAUCCAUCAUAUUCAAAGCACGUGCAAUUUGGCCUUCGCAACAGAUGUUCCAACAAUUAUACACAAAGACAAGGCUACCUAUAUUGCUCAAAUCAGAGAAGGAUACAUAAAGGGAGACAGAACUAAGCAUAUCUCACCAAAGUUUUUCUACACUAAUGAGCUGUAGCAGGACAAGAAAAUUGAUGUAAAGUAAAGACACUCCAUUAAUAAUCUUGAUGAUCUUUUCACUAAAGUUUUUCCCACGAGAAGUUAGUUCACAAUAUUGGCAUGCGUCGACUCAAUAGAUUAUCAAACUGAUACUUGACAGUUGAGGAGAUAUUUCAUCUGGGGGAGCAUAUUUUGAAGAUAGGAGUUCUUGCAUCUAUAUAGACAAAUGUGUAUUAUACUCUUUUUCCUUCGACCAGGUUUUAUCCCACUAAAUUUUACUGGUGAGGUUUUAACGAGGCUGUAUUAAACAAACCUAAUUAAGUACAUAAAUGGUAAAGUUCAAGGGGGAGUGUUAUAACUAAUAGGUGAACUUUCACGGUUUUGUAAGUGAAAAAUGUCCCACAUCGGCAAGUGAUGAUUACAAACAUAAUGAUGAACUUCCACCAUUUAUCCCACAUUGGUAAAUCAUCAUUUACCCCUCAGCUUUCCAAUUCUAUAUAUAUGUAACGUAUUCAUUCGUCUUGGUGAUAAUAAAAUUCAAAAGCUUAUCACUAAUAAGCUUAGUAAUAAGGUACUUUUUAAGUACUUUGUUUAAUUCAAAAUUUUCUGUUAUUUAUUUAUUUUAUAACAUAAAUGUUUUAGUUCAACUUUUUAACCUUUUUUUUCGUUGCUUGCCUUGUUAGGGACUCCUUUUUCUGAAGCUUGUCAUUGUUUUUUUGGUCGUUGAGCAUAAAUAAACAGAUAUACGCUUAUUAUUGAAAAAAAAAAUCAACCCUAUUUUUGAAGCAGUGAUGUCGAGUAAAAUAAAAUAUUUAACUUGUUUCGGUAUUUUGGAGAUGACGCACUCGUGGAGCCUUGGAGUCGGAGAGGUGCGAAGGAUUUUGGGAUUAACAAAAGAACGGAAUGGAGGAUUUAUAUAGAGGAAAGAGUUGGGUAUGGACUGUGGAAUGGAAAUAAAAUUCUGUGAAAGUCUGUUAAACGUAAAAUGGAAUGAAUUUAAUGAUUGAUAAAUAGAUAAAUACACAUCAAAUCUCUUUAAUUUUUCAAUCAACCUUUUUCUUUUUUUAUUAUUACAGUAGACUAUUAAAUAUACGUAGCACACUUCUAUUUAUUGAUCCCCUGCUAAAAAACAAUUAAAUACCGAAUUAAUUUGUUAAUCCCAUAACAAUAAUCUUGUUAAUAAUGAAUUGUUUUACUUAUUUAUAACCGUAAACAAAGAAAUUACAUCUCCAGUGAUUGUCCAUGCAAUCUUUGGCUCUGUUUGGUGAUUUCUUUCCAUUCUCGACCGGCUACUGCUUCCAAGUAUAUAUAGGAAUUUGUGUAGCUAGCUAUAUAAAUAAUUGUCUACCAAUAUUCAAUUGAACUCAUUAAUUAUCUUUAAUUUUUUUUUGGGCGAUGCAUCUUUGAAACGCGAUUCACGUGUAAACAUUAUUGCAAUGGGAGUUAAACGUGAUUCACGUGUGAACUCAUGAUUAAUUAUCACAUUCAUGUGUUUACGUAAUCGAAGUAAGAGAGGUUACGGAGGCUUUCGAAAGAUCGUUACACAUUAACUGACUUGUUAUUUUUCUUUUCCCCUUUCUUCCUUUAAUAAUAUUUUAUUGUAUUAUUAAAAAAAAAAUAUCAUUUCAUAUUUCAUAGUUAAAACGUCAAAUUUCUAUGUUUACAUAUAUGAUGCUGAAAAUUAUAUCUCAUUAAUGUCUUUUUAACUUUUGUUUUUCACUACAAGAAAUUAGGAUAUAUGUGACCGCAAAAGCGGCUUUUUACACAGUGGUUCGUGACCGUAUACGGCUUUUGUGGCCUCUUAUAUGACGGUCAGACAGCCGUCACAUAUAUACUAACUAUGUGUCAAUUAGUAAAGUUACUAAAUCAUUUCAUACAAUAAUAAUGAAAAUAUUCUUGAAAAUUGUUAAUAAUAAAAUUGUUAAUUUGUUUUUAAUUAGAAAAAUAUUAACAAUAAUUCAAAAAAGAAAAAAAUAACUAUUUCCAUUUGAAAACCAAAAUCCUAAUCCUAACACUAACAUGUCGCCGGUAAAUGGAAAAUGCCGACGAUCUUCUUCUUCAUCUUAUUCUGCGAUCUUCUAUUUUGGUGGCUGUUACUAGGUUUUGCAACUGCAAUUUCCCUGUCAAAAGAGACGGUUACACAACAUUUAAUUUGGAACGCGGCGCGUAUAAAAGCAUCUCCAAAAUGCUCUUCAAAUAAGAUUUUAUUACUUAUUUAAAGAGUCACAUCAGCAUUUAAGACCCCAAAAUAUACUCUAAUUAAGAUUUUUCAAAUGAAAAAUAAUUCUCUCUUUAAACUUGUAGUGUUGUUUUCUUUCUCUUCAAUUUAUAUUUUAUUACCUUUUAUUGGAGAGAGAGAAUUUAUUUUUCUUUUGAAAAAAUAUUUAUUUGAUUAAAAUAAUAUUAAUUUAUUUCUAUUUGAAGAGUCUUUUAAAAAAUAAUAUAUUUUUUCACUCUCCUCUUUGUCACAUAAUUAACCAAAUAAAAUAAUUGAAAAGUAAAGUUAAUAGACUUUUUUUUGGAGAUACUCUACCUCCUCUUUACAGUUACAAAGCCAUCACAAAAGGUCAUAUGUAACUGCAAAAUAACGGUCAUAUAAAUCACUUUUUCUUGUAGUGAAUUUAUUUUUUGCGACUUUGAUAAUAUUCCUCGAUGUAUUGGUUUUAGCAGAGAGGAAGUUUUCUUGCCAUUAUCACGAUGAUAAGCACUAUUUAUAAAACAUAAACAUUGUUAAUGAGUUAUUAAGGUCUCAGUUCUCUGUAAGUUGCAAAAAUUAGCUAACUAAUAAACAUGUAGAGUCUGUUUAAUAAAAAUAUUGAAGAAGAACUGGAGCAUAAAUAGCUAAACUAAUAUGAACAAAGUCGAGCAAAGUCAUACAAUUUUAUGUCAGCUGAAAACAAAUCUACACUCAUAUAAUAUUAUAAUUGACAGACAACAACAAUACUCAUAUUUUUAUUCAAUUAAACAUAAGACAAAAGAGAACACAACAUGUACCUAACCAAUAUGGUUAGGGUUCCUCCUGUAUUAAGGAACCAGUUCAGAGGCGGAUGUAGUGUAGGACUAGUGGGGGCUCAAGCUCCCACUGAAAAAACUGAAAAAAAAAACUCCUUUUUGUUUAAAAGAAAAAUUAAUAAAUUUUUAAAUAAUCCCUGUCAGAUUAUCAAAUAGCCCCGUUCUUUCAGUUUCUACAACCACAUAAGAGAGAAUAUUUUUAACAAUGAAAUUUGUGAAGAAUAAAUUUCGCAAUCGGAUGGGAGAUGAAUGGAUAAAUAAUAAUUUGAUUGUUUAUGUAAUAAAGGAUGUAUUUAAUAGUGUUGAUAAUGAAUCUAUUGCACAAUGUUUUCAGAAUAUGAAAUCACGUAGAGAACAAUUGUAAAUGUGUUAUAAAAAAUUGUAUAUAUUCAAGUUUCAGUUUUUAUAUUUUGUUGUUAUUUAAUUUAACCCCUAGUAAAUUAUUUUUCUAGAUCCGGGAACUACAAGAAGAUUAAAAUUGUCAUUUUUUAAGUCUUUGUCAACAGCAAUGCUUAUUCACAUGUACAUAAAUUAAAACAUGAAUUAUAAGUAAUAUUCAAAUGAACUUGGCUUAAAAAACAACCUGCGCAACGAGUUUCCAUAUAUUCUUCAAAUCAGAAAGGGAAAGUUCUCUGCUAGCUUUUGGUGAACUGUAAUCAAAAGAAAGUUGUAGACUUGAACGAGUUUCCAUUUCUGCUGGUUUGAUAUGAUAUGAUACAUACACACAUACAUACAUAUAUGUAUGUAUCCAAAAUCUUGAAUUUUAUAAAAAUCUAAGAAAAUUAUUAAAUUAUGAAGUUUAAUGGCAUAAUUGCACAAUACUAUUAAACUACACAAUUUAAUAACUUUUUCAGAUUUUAAUAAAGUCAAGGAUCCUAAUCAAGUAGUCAACAGUACCAUGGUAUUCAUUAAUUACGGAUCAACGGCUGAAGUUUUGUUAUAAUCCAUAAAUUGUCAAGAUUAAGGGCCAUGGUCAAAAGAUUGUGAUAACUGCGAAAUAUGCAACGUCUAGUCCACAAUAAUAUCAGUAACUGUAAAAAGGAAGACAAAGAAAAUGAUUAAAUACCAUUAUCAACUAUCGAACAAAAGCGAAGCAAAAUGCAUGGCAUAGACAACGAAUCAACAGUUGACGGUUUUUUGCAAAAUAAUUAAGUUUAACGGCUGUGAACACAACUCAAAAUAUCAUUUAAAAUGAUAUGACUAGGGGUGUUCGCGGAUGAAAUUUUGCAUAUUGGAUAUAAAUUCAUAUCUAAUUCACGAAUUUGCGAAUUAUAAAUUUUCAAUUCAAUCCAAUUCACGAAUUGGUGAAAUUUAAUUUAAAUCCAAUCAAUAAGUUUGUGGAUCAGACAUAAAUUUGACCUAAUCCAUAUCCAAUCACCAUUUUAUUAAUUGAUUUGUGAAUUAACAGUUUUUAAUUUUGUCCAAUCCAUCAAUUCAUUAAAUAAGAAAAUCUAAUAUAAAAAUAAUUUUAUUACUAAUUAAAUUCAAAAUUGAAUAAUAUUUAAAUAAAUUAAUUGUUUAAAUAAAACCAGAAUAAUACAUUUAAAGUUUCAAAAUAUAACACAGCAAAGGGAAAAGAUCACAUUUGUUUAGAUUAAAAUAUAAAAAUUAACUAAAAUUAUUAAAACUAACUAUUUAAGAAGCUAUAUUUGUUUAUUUAAAUAUUUGAUUAUUUAAUUUUUUUAUUAUAAUUGGAUAAGAUAUAAUAUGGUAUUAAUGUAAUUAUAUUUUAAUUAAUUUAUUCAUUAGUAAGUAGUAAUGCCACAUUUACAAGUUUUAUUUUUUAAUUUAAUAUUUUUGUUUGUGGAUUUACAUAAGUAAAUCCAUAUCUAAUCCACUAUCUGUUAAUUUUUAAAUUAUCAAUUGAAUCCAAUCCAUCAAUCCAUAAAUGAGAUUUUUAAUGGAUUAGAUAGAUUAAAUUAAAUUCAAAACACCCAUAGAUAUGACAUGAAUCAAUUAAAUAGUGAGAUAAUGUUAUUAAAAUUAUAAACAAUCGUCAAGUAUUUAAUAAAUAUACGACACAUUAUUUGCCACGAAAGAAACAAAAUCGAAAUAAAAUUUUUAGAUAUUUAUCUGCUUUUUAAAUGAUUGCAACAAGUGUGAAACACAUGGUUUGAUGGUCCACAAAAUAUAUAAUUGUCAAAAAGAAGACGGACAAAGUAAUUGAUGAUAAACCAUCUUGUACUUUAUUGCAGUACAGCAUGAUUCACACUUAUCCAUCUUGUACUUUAUUGCUGCACAACAUGAUUCACACUUUUUGCAAUCAGUAUUUAAAGAAAAGAGUUUUUAGAGUGCACCAGUGUUACUGCACUUAAUUAAAAGAUAUAAAAAUCACUACAUAAUUGAUGGUUGUAUACAAUUAGGGAGUCCCUAUAUUACAUUAAAUAUAACAUACACUCCACAACAACCACAUAAAUGAUGGACUCACACAAUUUAUGUAGUUGUUAUGGAGUGUGUAUGUUACAUUUCAUGUAACAUAACAUUUGGCAUACAAUUAAACUAGGCAUGUUAUAUAUACACAUAUAUUUUGAAUAAAGUAUUUUUAAUGUACUUUAAAAAUUCUCCUAUAAACAUGAUUAUUAUAUGGUAAAAAUUCCCACCCUAUAAAAGAUCUCAUCAUAGCCAAAAAAUAAUUAUAUAUUUAAAAGAAAGGGUAGAUGUAUUUUGAAAGAACGAAUUAGAUAUGGAAAUAAAUAGUGUGUGUUUAUAAAGUCAAUAAAUGUCAAAUGGAAUGAAUUUAGCGAUUAAUAAUUAGGUAGGUAAACAUGAGAUCACUUUUUUCGAUCAACAUUUUUUAUUAUUAAAAUAGGCUAUUGAAUAUUCGUAGCGGACUUAAUUCUAUUUUCUUCCUCAGCUAAAAUAUUGUUAUCACCAAAUUAAUUCGUUAAUCUCAAUCUUGUUAAUAUAUAAUUGUUUUAAUUAUUUAUUUAUAACUCUCUGGGCAGGUAUGCAUAGUCGUGUAUGUUAUUUUGCACGUUAGGCCACGUGUCAUCUGAUUAUCAGCUGGCAUCUAAAAGUCUGACUAAUGAUCAAGUGACACAUGGCCAGACACGCACAAGUACAUAUGCGAUGGCAAACACCAAAUCAGAUUUCGUUAUUUAUAAAUGCAAAUUAAGAAAAUUAGAAGAUCGCCCCUGAUUGUCCAUGCAAUUUUUGUUGGCUCUAUUUCGUGAUUUCUUCCCAUUCAUGUAAUUCCAUAAUUAAUCCCAUAAUAAGUAAUAUAGAUCAAGAAGCAAAACAGCAAAUAAUUAAUUCCAUAAUCCCUAGAUUUAUGGCAUAAUCGUAUAUAUUUAAUUUUCUAGUUUAGCUUUCUGUAACGCACACCUCUACUGCAUAAUUCAUGAGUCUAGAGAAAACCUUUCGUUUUCUAACAAUGAGUAUCUGCAAAUGAAAAAAAAAAAUUGUGCAUUCACAUUUUAGUAACUGCUCGUGCCUGUAUUAGGCGUGACUUGCUUUCCUUUCCACCCCGAAAAUCUUAAUUUGGGGUAUUAAUUGAUGUCGUAGCCUGAAAUAUUACUGAUGUCUUCACUAAUUUUAUUAGAUAGUAGAGAGAAAGUAUUCCUUGAUGAAAUUGUAUUUAGCAGAGAGGAAGUUGUCAUUAGGGACAUGCUUCUUAAAAAUGGGAGAAAAAGUUGUAAUGCCUUUUUUUUUUUUUACGAUGAUACGUGCUAUUUAAACAAAUAAAACAUUCUUCAUUAGUUAUAAAGAUCUUGUCCGCUGCGACCUACAACAUUAGUUGAUUACUAAUAAAUAUCCAGAGUUUGUUUCACAAAAAUAUUCAAGAAAAGAGAAAGCAUAAUUAAAAAGAUAUGGCACAAACAAAAUAUUACAUACUAUGCACAAUAAUUUUAUUUAUUAAGAAAGACAAAUUGCAUGAAUACAAACAAAGAAAAUCUCUUGCAUAUCUCAAGAGAUCUUACUAAUUAAACUAAAACAAACUGGCAUUCACGCGAAACCAUCGACUGGUAAUGACAACGAACGGUGCCCACCAUUUAUUCAAUUAUUACAUAUAACACAUCCAAAAGAGUAACUCUGUUUAUAUUUAACCAGCGUGAUUAGGGUUCCCUCUAUAUUGAGAAAUCAGAAGAAAAUCAAGAUUGUGAUCCACAACCUCAUCAUCAGCAACACUUCCAAGAUAUGGGUCACCCCAACUUUCAGUCCAAUCGUUAUUACCUGAAAAGUUCAUAUUAUAAAAUACACGUAUUAAAAUAAAAAUUAUAAAUGAUGUUCAAUUAAAAAUGCAUGGCCUAUAUAUAAACCUGCGCAAGGAGUUUCCAUGAUCUUCAAGUCAGAAAGAGAAAAGAUCUUUGCUAGCUUCGGGUGAACCGUAUUCAAAACUCAAAAGGUAAGUAGUUGAGUUUGAGCGAUUUCUAAUUUCUGGUUUGAUCUUAUAGAUAGAUCAAGUAGCCGACACUGCACUGCCAACGUAGCAUAUAUAUAUAUAUAAUCCAUGGAAGACUCUAGAUAAUGGAUCAACGGCUCAGGUUUCAUCCUACAAUAAGUAGGUAAGAUUAACGGCUAGAGUUAUUGCAUGUGCGCAACAUGGUCCACAAAACAAAUAAUUGGAAUAAAAAAGACGGACAAAGUUAUAAAUACCAUUGAACUCAUUAAUUAAAUACCAUUAUCAACUACCAAAAAGAAGGGAAGCAAUAGUGCAUGUAUAGACAACGGACCAACGGUUGAAGUUUUUUCGCAAAAUAAUUGAGUAAGAUUAACGGCUAUUAUCACAGUAUAAAAUUUCAUCUCAAAUGAUAUGACAUUAAUCAAUUGAAUAAUAAAAAAAUGUAACUAAAAUUAUAAACAAGUAUUAAGUAAUUGGUAAAUAUAUGACACAUUAUUUCCCAUACCAUUCGAGAUGCAAUUUAAAAUAAAGUUUUUAGAUAUUUAUAUGUUGUUUAAAUGAUUGCGACAAGUGUGAAACACAUGAUCUGAUGUUCCCAAAAUUAUAUUUGUCAAAAAGAAGACAAACAAAGCAAUUGAUGAUAAACGAUCAUUACUUUACUGCAACAAAACAUGAUUCCCAAAAUUAUUUUGAAAAACAUGAUUAAUUAAUUAAUAAUCACUUAAUUAAUGUAUGUAUGUUAUAAACAUAUUAUUUUAAAAAAUAACUAUAUAAUUGAUAGUUAUAUUUAAUUGAACUACUCAUCUUAUAGAUACAUUAAUUGAAUAUAGUAUCUAAGGUUAUAUAUAUAUAUAUAUAUAUAUAUAUAUAUAUAUAUAUAUAUAAAUUAUGUUCUUGAUUUUUGUCCUAAUAUCAAUAGGAUCGCCAAACCAUUGCAUGAUAGGUUAAAGAAAACUCCUGUUGCAUGGUCGGAAGAACAUACAAAAAUUGUUAAACAUAUAAAGACUAUAGUUAAAAACAUUCCAUGUUUAUUUCUUGCAAAUCCUGCAUUGCCUAAAAUUGUUGAGACUGAUGCAUCAGACCUAGGUUAUGGUGGGAUAUUAAAACAAGUUAAUAAUAAUAAAGAACAAAUAGUACAAUAUGUUUCUGCACACUGGAAUGAAUGCUAGAAAAAUUAUUCUACUAUUAAAAAAGAAAUUUUAUCCAUUGUUUUAUGCAUUUCCAAAUUUCAAAGCGAUUUAUUAAAUCAAAAAUUUCUGCUUAGAAUUGACUGCAAAGCUGCAAAACACGUUUUGGAAAAAGAUGUUCAAAACAUUGCAUCUAAACAGAUUUUUGCACGAUGGCAAGCCAUUUUAAGUGUUUUUGAUUUUGAUAUUGAAUUUAUUAAGGGAGAUACAAAUUCUCUCCCUGAUUUUCUAACCAGGGAAUUUCUUCAAAACAGAUAAUGCCGCCCAAAAGAUGAGACAAAGGGAAAGAGAUCCUCACAGAACCCUUACCCAAAUCAACCCCUAAAGCCUCCCAAUCCUCUCCACCUAAAGAAAAAUUGCUUUCUUCAGCAAUGCCUAUAAAGUCUUGGAUUGACGCUAUUGAAGACCAAGAAGCCUAAUCCAAAGCCCUUGCCUCCUGGGAGCAGGUAAAUGAAUGGAUGAAAUCCAUUUCUAAAUCCCCUGAGUUUCUGCUCGCCUUACAAAGUUUUUCUCAAAUCCAGAUUUCUCCUAAAGAAGAAAAACCUAUUUCUAAAGAAAUUUAUAAACCUCCUUCACAAAAUGUAAUUCUUUCUAGUGAAAGUUCAUCUUCUCAGAUUGUUCUUUCCCAAACAAAACUUUCAAAGAAAACAUCGGAUUAGUAUGAUAAAACUCAUUUCCAAAAUAUUUUAUCCAUAGAAGAUGGUUUUUACCACACUGAUCCUUUUCAAGCAAUUUCAAAUUUUUUUCCCAAAGGCUGGUUUUUCAAACCUUGGGAUUUGACAAAACCUCAGUCUUAUUACCAAAGCAUUUUGGAGUCUUCUGAGUCUGUAAAAUUCAAAUACUUCUUCCUCAGUGAAACCCAUACAAAACCAGCUUACUCCACAGCCACCAUUCUAAAAGUUUUGAGCCCAAAAUAGUGGGGAGACCAACUUCACAUACUAAAGCCUUUCCCCGCCAAUUUUCAAAUGCGUUUACCACACUACCUAUCCUAUUCCUACUGGGAUUAUCAACAGGCUUGGUUUAAUACAUUUUUUAUACAAAACCCAAAAAAGACCCAUUCUUGGUUAUUUUUAUUCAACUCAAAAAUAACCGUCUAAAGUCUUCCAAACUGGUUCCAACAGUGGUGGAAUUAUUUUGGGCCAUGCCCUGAAAUCCUCACCCAAAAUGUCAUCCAGUGCCUAAAUCUUUUUAAAACCCACUAUGUACCUACAGAGUCUGAGAAACGAUUUCCUCAUUUUCUCUGCUUCUGUACAAAUUUCUUUCUCCCUUGGGUUUGGAUGUGGAACUUUCGAUACCAUCCACAAGAUGCCCAAUUAAUUCUACAAAGAACCUUCAAAGUCAAAUGGUGGUCAAAAUUUUAUGAACAGUCCAAAUUGACUGUUAACAUGAUCGAAAAUUGGCUCUCCUCUAAAAGCCUUCUACAACCAACCAUCAAAGACAUUAAAGCCCAAGGAACCUUCCUUACCCAAAAAUCCAAGGCCCAAUAUCUUUUGGCCGAUGCCAAAACAGAAGAAGAAUAUUUUAAAGUCAUGGAACAGCUUCUCGCUUCGAGAUCUGAGCCAUCAGUUGCAAGUUCCGGUUCAAGCUCUUCUGGAGAAGCCGAGCCAUUCAUUUCCCUUGGAGAUGAUAAUGAAGAUGAUUGCUUCGGCAUCUUCCCUCCUGUAAAGCAUUGUUAAGUUACUUCGGCAUCUUCCCUCCUAUAAAGCAUUGUUAAAAAAAAAAUAAAAAGAGUACUAAUUUUCUAUUUUUCUCUGUAUUUAUCAUUUGUAUUCAAUUUUAUAAUUCCUGUAAAAUUCUACUGUAAAAAUUACCUUAUUACUUGUAAUACUUUGGGUGGUCCCCUGGACACAAGUGAGAGCGCACAUGUCUCUUCACCCGAUUUUUCCCCUUUUAUAAUUCCAUGUAAUUUUGUUUUGCAAAGCCACUGUUUCAAGCUACAGUUGUGAAGCUACAGACUCGCUACAGUAUCGAAAGCUACAGUUUCGCUACAAUUAAAGACCCAGUCUUUGUAUUUAAAUCGGGAGGAAGACUUAGACUCCUCAGAUUUUGGGGGGCAUUCUGAGAAUUUUCAAGAUGGGACUUACUAAAGACAGAUUGUGUUAUAAAUCUUAUCUUUAGAAACUGCAUCUGUUAUAAAUCUUAUCUUUAUAAACCUUUUCCACGAUCUCGGAUCUGUGUUGUUGGUAUCAGAACACAGGGAAAGUAGGUGUAAUAUUUGGUAAAGCAUCUGUGUUGUUUAUUUCUUUUAUUAAAAAUCAGUGUGUUUGCUGAAUUCUUUACUGGUAGUAAGUCCCAUCUUAAGAUAAGGUUUUCCGCUUAGGGCAGUAAUACCAUACCUGUAGGCAUUCAUAUAGGUUUUAAUUUAAGUUUUAAAUUGCAUGGAUUCUCUACUGCAUAGAACAUCAUCUUUCUCUAGCUCUUCUUCCGAGAAGACUAGUGUUUCAAAGAACGUGGUGAAUUCAGAAUAAUUCAUUAUUGAAUAUUUUAAUAAAGCAAUUGACAAUUGGGAUUUGCCAAAAGUUUCUAAAGAUAAGAUUUAUAAAAUGAAAAAACUUGAUUUUCUAAAGACAGAUUGUGUUAUAAAGACAGAAGAAAGAGAUAUCACACUUUCAAAACCUUUUGAAACAAUUCACUUGUUCUCUGAACAUUCUUUAAAGAAAUUAAAAAAAAAGAAUUUCAAUUAUAUUCAUAUCGGUUUAAUUCAAGUCGGCAUAAAACCCUUAACUAAGGAAGGACUAAAUACUUCCAUUCUUGCUGUCCUCAGAGAUGGGAGGUUCAUCUCCUUUGAUGAUUCCUUACUCAGUAGUAUUGAAUCUAGUCUCUGUAAAGGACCCAUUUCUUUUUAUUGUUAUCCUAACAUAACGGUUUCUUUAAAAGAUAAGAAUAUUUUGAAAAGCAUGAUUUUACAGAUCAAAACGCAUAAUUAUCACAUGUUAGAAGGAUAUGUUCCAGUUGCAUUAAUUUUCAAAAUAUCAUAUAAAGCCAUGAUUUCAACGUUCAAUACGCAACAUAAAUUCCAGUAAAAAAGAGAUGAAACUCUUCUCUUGCAGACUGAUAUGUCUAAAGCCAACACCGUCAUUCCAAAACCAAUCCAAUGGAAAGAUAUCAAUCUUCCAGAUGAAUGGAUUCUUGAAGGAGCCACUCAACCAGUGAUUCCAAAACAACUUGAGCCAAAUACAGAAUUACAAAAUGUGACUCAGUAUUCAGAUGGUAAAGUCAAACUGUCUUUUAGGAGAUCUAUAUCCUCUAGAUUCUCCGAUAAAGAUUCAAUUCCUCAUUUACAAAAGAAAUUUUAAAAAAUACCCUCUGUUAUAAAUCUUCCUUUCCAACCUGUAAAUAGUCAACUUAGGUUUUCCACCUCGGAUAUACCUAGUUCCUCCAUACAUUCAGUUGACUAUGCAACUAGUGUUCCCCAUCCUAUCUACACUAGUCGCCAAAGCCAGGAAGAGAAGGAACCUUCUCCUCCAACUUCUCCUACAUUUUCUGCUGUUACUGAAAAUGUAAUAAAUGUUCUUGAAAAAGACUUUGAAUUAGAUAAAACUCUUCUUCAUAAUGAAUUUUAUUCUAAUUCCAAUGAAGAAAAAAAACUUUGGUUUUUCAAACAUUUCUUAAACCAAAGAAAAGAAAUUCAACAAGUUUAUUAUGAAUUUGUAAAUUUGCAUAAAGUUCAUAUAUUGUUUUUUGAUUGGUUGAGAUGUAUGCUCAGAUAACAAUAUAACUNNNNNNNNNNNNNNNNNNNNNNNNNNNNNNNNNNNNNNNNNNNNNNNNNNNNNNNNNNNNNNNNNNNNNNNNNNNNNNNNNNNNNNNNNNNNNNNNNNNNUUUCUGGUAGCGGAAAAAUCAUAGAAUCUGAGUAUCCACCUCUUAGGAGUCUGACCAUUGAACAUGGUGAACCUCCUGUUGAGAUUAAAGCCUCGCCCUAUAAGAUCCAUAAAGACCCAGAUACGGAUUUAGAUAGCAUCAUUCAACAGAAUAAUUUCUGUAAUGCUAAUCUAAAUACAAUAGGAAAACAGUUGACCCGUAUAGAAAGUCAAUUCCAGAAGUCAACCGUUAUUGUCCCUACUUCUACUCAAACAAAGUCUGAUUCCUUGAAAAAGCUUAAAGAACCUAUUUUCAAACCUUUUCAGGUUUCAAAACAUAGCCAAAAGCUUGUUCAAGAAUCUAAAUCAGAUUUUGCUAAAGCCAUUAAAGAACAACUUCAUAAAAUAGAAGCAUCUCCUUCUUUCGCUUCUACUUCUAAAGUCCAAAUUGCUCCUGAUAGUGCUCAAUCUAGUAAGAUUGGUGUACUAGAACAGGAUCAAUCUUCUAUAGCCUCUUCUGACAUAGAAGCUUUCAAAGAUGAGUCUAUUCCCAAAGCCAAUAAAAUCCAUUGGGAACUUGCUCUCCCAACUGUAAGAACUCCUCCAGACCUUGCCAUCGAUAAUAGACCAAGUGGUAUGUCUGAAUACAAUAUCCUAGGGUUGUUGCAACAGAUGACCAUGGCAGCCAAUGCCUAUAAAACUUAGUCGGGAACUUCUGACAAAGCCAUUGCAGAAAUUCUCAUCGCUGGUUUUACCAGUCAACUAAAAGGAUGGUGGGAUCAUCGUCUCACUAAACAGCAACAACUAGACAUCCUAAAUUCUGUCCAAGUAGACAAAAAUGGAGCCCCCAUUCUCGAUGAAUUCAAUAGUCCAAUUCAGGAUGCAGUUGCUACCCUGAUUCUGACUAUUUCUCUCCAUUUCAUAGGUGACCCUUCUCACCUUAGAGAUAAGAAUGCUGAGUUACUACACAAUCUGAGAUGUAGGAAACUUAGUGAAUUCUAAAGUUACAAAACCACUUUCUUUACCAGACUCUUCCUUUGGGAUGAUGCAAAUCAUACAACCUGGAAGGAAAAAUUUCUUGCAGGCUUACCUACCCUAUUGGGAGAAAAGGUUAGAAAUUUCAUUAAAGCCCUUUAUGAAAAUCGCAUUCCCUAUGAUGAGCUUACCUAUGGUGAACUUGUCAGUUUUGUCAAUAAGGAAGGAUUAAAGAUUUGUCAAGACUUGAAACUUCAGAAACGUCUAAAAUGGGAGCUUAGGAAAUCUAAGCAAGAACUAGGCAGUUUCUGUAAGCAAUUCAAUUAUGACCCCUUUAAAACCUCCACUUCUAAAUAUUGUAAUGGUAAGUGUUCUUCGAAACCUUACAAGAAACAUUACAAAUCAAGAAGUUAUAAAAAACCCUUCCAAGAAUUUAGAGAUCAACUUUCUUAUAAGAAACCCUCGAGGCCUUAUAAGAAGCCCAACUUCUCUAAAAGGAAAGAUUUCAGAGUCUUUUUAAAAGCCUUAGAUUAUGAAAUAUGGGAAAUAGUUUGUGAUGGUUCAUUCAUUCCUAGGAAGAAUGCUUUAAAUGAGUCGGAUAGGAAAAAUAUGUCUUUAAAUUCCAAGGCAAUGAAUGCUUUAUUUUGUGCCUUAGAUAAAAAAGAAUUUCAUAAAGUUUCAAAUUGUUCGAAUGCUUAUGAAAUUUGGAGAAAACUUGAAGUUUUGUAUGAGGAGACUACAAACGAGGAGGAAUCUUAUGAAAUGUCAAAUUUGGCACUUAUGACAAUUGGAGAUGAAUCGGAUGAUGAACAUGAUGAGGUAAGUGAUCUUCCUACAUAUGAUGAAUUACAUGAUGCUUUCAAAGAAUUGCAUGAUGAGUUGAUGAAAAUUGGUAAAAAGAAUGUAUGUCUUAAAAAGAAAAUGGUGGAGCUCAAAAAUGAAAAUGAAUAUCUAAGUGCAAAGAUUACAUGCCUAGAAUUAGAGAAUAAAACAUUGCAUGAUAAAGUUGUAUUAUCAAAUAAGAAACUUGGCACUUCACACGAGCAUCUAAAAUCACAUGUAGAUGACUUGAAAAAUGAAAAGGAUACUUUACGAAAAUACAAUGAUUCAUUAAAUGAAAAGGUUAAAGGACUAGAAUUAGAGAAUAAAACUUUGCAUAAUAGAGUUGCAUUAUCAAAUGAAAAACCAAGCAUUUCACAUGAGCAUCUAGAGCCACAUGUAAAUGAUUUGAAAAAAGAAAAUAAAAUGCUCAAGAAAACGAACAUUGAACUUAGUGAUGUUAUGUUAAAAUUCACAAAUGGGAAAAAGAUAUUGGAUAACUUGCUUAAUUCACAAAAAAUGUGUGAUUGACAAAGAAUGUAUUAGCUAUAAGCCAAAUUUAAAACAAAAAUAUUAUAAGAAUUAUUUUGUGAAGAGUAGCUUCAUUAACAAUCAAGUUGUAUGCCACCAUUUCCAUCAAGAUGGUCACAUGAAGAAUAGAUGUCCAAUUAAAAGAAAUGCAUAUUGUGGAGUAAAAUGUGUUUGGGUUCCAAAAGGAACCAUUACUAACACUCAGGGACCCAAGAGUAUUUGGGUACCAAAGGGCACAACGUGAAUGUUUUCUUUGUAGGUACCACAAUCAAGGAAUGGUAGACAGUUUCUUAAUAAAAGCUUAUGAGGAUAAUCACUUGAUCAUGAUCUAAGAGAAAAUGAUGAGUAAGAUGAUUUAAUUACUUUGGUGACAAUUUUGCCAUAUUGAUUUUUUUGAAUGGAUCAUGAUGGAUAGAUAAUAGCUUGAAUUUGGGAAAGCAUGCUAGUAUGUUACAUAAUUGAAUUAUUAUUGUGUGUAAUCAUGAUGUAUGGAUAGAUAUAUAUGAUGGUAGCAUGUCAACUUAUCAUGAUGCCUUUGUUUGAUUUUGAUAAUUGUAUGAUCUUUGAUUUCAUCUUUUUAAUUGUCUAUCAUCAUGUUUUAUGUCAUUUAUUCAUUUUCCUUAUUUGUUCAUCACUUAUGUAUAUAUGCAUAUGUCAUAUAUCACCUAUGUGAGCAUUUGUAAUAAUGGAUUUGACCACUUGUUCUUUAGCUCAUAAUGAUGGUUUUUCUUAAUAGUUAUGUUGAUUUUGAUGAUCUAUAUAUUGCCAUAUGUUGAUUUUGAUGAUCUAUAUAUUACCAUUAUGUACUUAUGUUUUACUUAAGUUUUGAUGAUAAAGAAUAUGCUUUGAUGAUUACAUUGUAUUUGAUGAAAUUUGAUCUUAUGCAAUCUAUGAUUGGUGAAUGGAUGCAUUUUUUGUCCUUUAUCGAUGUAUUAUUGAUUAUGCAUUACUUGUUUUAAAUGAUGCCGAAAGGAGGAAAAAUACAUAUACUUCGAGACUUUUAAGCAUAUAAGAUAUUUUAAGUUAUAUUGAAAUGGCACAUUGGAUCUUGAUGAGUUUAGUUGUCUUGAUUUCUAAAACGUGAUUAGUAAGUAUGGAGCUUGGAUAGUUGAUAAUAUGUUCUUAUAACCUUUGCAUGCCAGUUUGGUAAAAAAAUCAAAACCUCUUUGCUAAUAACAAUUUUCAAAAAUUCGGCAUAAACUUGGGAUGAUGAAAUUUACUAAUAUCUCUAAUCAUGUUAUUAAUACUAUUAAAAUUGAUUUCUUAAUGAUUUUGAUGAUUGAUGAUUAUAUGUGUGUUCCUUGAUAAAUUGAUGGAGUUGUUGGUUUGUUAUAUUUUUUUAAACUUAUAUGGAAGUGUUUUUAACCAUGUUGCAUAUUUGAGGAUUUGUUCAUUUUUAAGGGGAGACUCUGCCGAAAUUUUUGCUCGCACAAAAUGGGUAAUAUCUUCAUCGAAUUAUUUUUUAUGAUCUUGUUUCGAUUGCAUCUAUCUAUCUUUUCUUUUCUUUUUAUGAUGAAGGGAGAGAUAAAUAUGAUAUUUUUUGGAUAAAAUUAUUUUGGUUAAAAUUUUAAAUUAGCCAUAUAUUUAGGGGGAGCAUACAAUAUGAUUUUGGAUAAUAUGUAUUUUGAACUUUUUUGUUGUUCAAAGGGGGAGACAAAGUAAUAUAUCAUUUCGAUGUUGUCAAAAGGAGAAGAAUAAUAUGCACUUUGAAUAUUGUUUUGAUGAUUGAUAUAUGAAUAUGGUGAUGAUUUUGAUGAUUUUGGGAUGUGAUGAUGAUUUGAUUACACGGUUGUUUUAUAUGAUAGUUUUAUGUUAUGAGUUGUUGAUUUGGUAAUUGAUGGAAUAAUGGUUCAUGAUCUUUUUAUGGUUGAUGGAUUGUGCGAUGAUUUGUAUAUGGAGUUGACUUGUAUCAUGAUUUAUAAUAAUUUGGGAGUAAUAUUACUAAACUUGUAUUUGAGGUGAUGCUUGUUGUUAGGGGGAGAUUCUAUCCAAAUUUCUACUCAGACAACAUGGAUAACAAAUUUGCUACUCUUUUUCUUUUCUACUAAGUUUUCUUUUUUCUGAUGAAGGAAGAGAAGAAUACAUGUAUUUAAAUUUGUUAAUUUAGCUAAUUGGUAAAUUGUAAAAGAAGCUUACAUUUAGGGGGAGCAAUUUGUAGAAUCAUUCUUUAAAUACAUGAAAUGUUUGUCAUCAUAAAAAAAAGGGGAAGAUUGUUAACAUAUAUGUUUCCAUAAUGUUGAUUUUGAUGAUAACAAACAAGAUUAAGAAUGAUUAAGUUUUUAAAAGUUCAAAUUAUUUUUUAUAUAUUUUUAAUAAAUCAUUAUUUUCACAUUAUAAAAGUUUUUUAUUUAAUAGAAAAAUGAUUUUAUGAAAUUGGUUGUUUUUCAAGUUUAUGGUUUAAUUGAAAGAGCUUUAAAAACUUUAAAAUCAACAAGUAUUGCUUGGAAUUUUGGAGAAGGAACUUAUUUGAAAAGUUUCCUAGGGUUUUAGGUCAUAUCAUAAUUUCAUAAAGUUUUGGGAAUAACAAGUAUUAUUUAGAAAUUUUGAAAUUGGAUAUUUUUGUAAAGUUUUAUGACUUUUUGAGCCAUAGUAUAAUUUUAUAAAGAUUGGGGCAAACUGUAAUUUUGGAAAAAAAAUCAUUGUAGCAAAGCGGCUAACCGGAUUCAUGAAAGUGGCAUACCGGAUGUGCAAAAAUUUAAAAUUUUGAACAUAAAGGUAACAUGAAGCGGCUAAGCGAAUUCACAAAAGCAGCAAGCCGGUUAUCACCAAAAAGUCAAUAAUGGCUAGUUUUCUUCCUCAACUAUAAAUUGGCUCAAAUCAAACUCAUUCAAGAUGAUGCAACCAUUGAUAUUUUGAGCAUUUUCUCUGCAAAUCUAAAAGAAUAAACGUUGUGUAUUUAUUUCAUUUAUUCACACAUAUUGGGCUUUCAUUUGUAUUCAAACACAUUUUGUGAGAGAAAUUUUUAUAAUCCUUUUUGUAAAAUCAAAUUGAGAGGUUGUAAGUGUUGGGAUACACUUGGGUUAAGAGAUUGUGGAUAAUCUCUUGUUGUAAAGGUCCAUUGACACCUUGGAAGUCAAUUGUAAGCGUUUAAAACCUUGGAAGGCUUGGAUAAUGAAAUCCUCAUGGAUUUCAACUAAAUUUGCUUGCUUCAAUAAUAAAAUUUACAAUUAUAUCGACAUUAUGUGUUAAAAUGCUACAUUUGGCUAUUGACAACAACAACAAAAAUUAAUAAUUACCAAAAAUAAGCAAAAGCAAAAAAUUUAAAAAGAAAUACACAGAAAGGAAUGAAAAUUAUCUUUGAUUGAUCAGGUCGUAGCUAAGGCGGCGAUGGGCAGUUAAGUCCGGUGAAAAAUCUGAUCGUUGACGAGAAGGGGUUAGCGGCUAGCAGCAAAGCUUGCUCUUUGGCAAGAGGCAAUAUCGAAUUUGAUGGUGGUGGAGCUUGAUUGUUGUUUGUUGUUCUUAAUAAUAAUGGAUAAUGAACUGACGAUGAUUUAAAUUGAUGAUGUAUUGAUGAACCAUUGAAUUAAUAUUGAGCGUUGGGGAUGAGGAAGAUGAAGAUUGAGGUGGCGGCUAGGGCUUGUUUUACUCAAUUUUUUUUCCCUAAGGUGGCGGCUGGUGUGUUUGUUUUCUUUUACUUUAGGGUUUCUAGGUUUGUUUUGUUUGCUUUUAAGCUUUGCAACAAAAAUUAAUUAAUAAAUGAAUUAUAAAAACAGUGUAGUCUGGGUCUGGGUUCUGGAAAUUCGGGUUCACCCAAACCCGGAACCAGACCCGGAUAUGUCCGGGUUUUAAAAAAACAAACCGGAUCCGCAUUAUUAAUGCAUCCGGUACGGGUUGAACCCAGAUCGGAUCGUUCAGGUAUUUUCGAGUCCCAACCGGGUCCAAAAAAAUUUGCCAUCCCUAACGGCAGCACCACUGGAAUUGGCAGCGAAAAGCAUAAAGGAAUAAGGGGUUUCUUUUGGAUUUUUUUCAUUAGACACCCUACUGUCUUACUAAUUUAUGUUUGCUACCAAAGUUUGAAAUUGUGUUGCAUUUAAGUCCAAUAGUAUAUGUUGGUGGCGGCUGGAAGAAAAAUAAGUGAUUUAGGGUUUUGGGUUUAUACCCCAUGGCACCCUACAAUUUCAUUAUUUUACGGUUCCGCCUAAGUAUUUUGGGUUUUGGGCAGAAAAAUUCAAAAUUAUUUAUAUUGGAUGCAAGCCCAUUAUUGACUAUCAAUUGGAUAAUAUAAAUAGAAAUUUGAUAACCCCAAUUGUUAUUAUUUGUCCAAAUUUAUUUAUAUUGGUCCCAAGCCCAUUUAAGGAAUUUCAAAAUUGGGUUAUAUAAAUGAAAAUUUGGUAGAUCAAUAAUAAAAUUUAUUUGGCACAAGAAUUUUUGAAGAUAAAUUUGGGCUUAUUAUAUUAAACUAAUUGGGUCUGGAUUAUAUUUAUAAAAAAAGGUAUUUAAAAAUAAGACCCAAUAGAAUUUUUAUUUAAAAGGUGGCCAAAUUUAAAUUUAAAAAUUGAACCAAGGAUAAAAUUUUAAAAGCCUAAAAAUCCCCAAGCCAAUAAUUAUGGAUAAGAACAAUACAAGGAAAAGAAAGAAAGAUGGAUAUUGUCUUGAAGCCCAGUAGAUAUUAGGCUUAUAGAUUAAGUCGAUUUUUUCUUAGGAAAAUCAUGAAUUGAGAUUGUUUAAUUGCUUUUAUCUAUAUGCUAUGUUUGGUUGAUAACAUGCCAUGAUAACAUGUCAUAUAGAAUAGGAAGUGUCACUCAAUGCAUCAUAAUACUAGUAUCAUAAAAUAUAUGGCAUCUAUAAAUUAUGAAUGCAGAUAUAUAUAUAUAUAUAUAUAUAUAUAUAUAUAUAUAUUGUUUGACAUUUGCACGUGCUUAAUAAUAUUAUAUUGCUUCUAAAUAAUAUUAUUUUGAGAAGCAUGCAAUUAACAAUAUAGGAUAUAAUCUGUAUAUGUUUGAAAGGAAAAAAAAACCUUUAAAAUAUUGAGUGGGAGAGGGAAAAUUCAAGAUAAUUUUUUCCACGGGCUUCAUUGUUAGUUCAAUAAUAAAAUUAUAUAUAUAUAUACCUCGACUUCAUGAUAUAGUGUUACUCCCUACGGAGGGUAUAUAUAUUAGACAUUUUAUUUGAUGAACUUCUUUACAGAUAAGAUCGAAAUAUUUUUCAAUCUGUUGAUCACCCUAACGGUGGCUGCAUGAUAUGAAAGAUACGUAUAUUGAAACAAUGGUUAUACACUCAACAAAAAUUUGUUAUUAGCCUUCCUAACGAAGCUCUGUUAACAAAUUUUGGCCCUAAAAGAUAACGAUAAUUAUUUAUCAUGUUUUUGACAUGAAAGUAAAUAAUCUAGUGGUUAAUUGUGUCUAAUAAGUGUAGACAUUUCUUCCCCAACGACUAUCUUGCCAAAUCGGUACUAGAUUAUUGUUACAAAAAAAUAAAAUGCAUUUAUGGUUUUUUGCAUUUUAAAUUAUUUAUUGUGGACAUUAUUUGUUUCGAAGUGUUUAUACAUAUCUAUUUUAUUUUUCAGAAAAUGUCUUUCCUAAGCCCACUCAUCAUUAUUAUGAGUCGAAAUAAACUCACUGGCGAGAACAACAUAGAUUGGAAAUGAAAUCUAUUUACAAUCCUAACUGCUAAAAAUUAUAAAUAUAUCUUAACCCAGCCAUGCCCUUCUAAACCAAUAGAGGAUCCUAGUAGAAAUCAAAGGAGGCUUUAUGAGAAAUGGCAAAAUGCUACAUUUUAUCCUCGAUUUCUAAUAUUCUGCAGACCAAACAUCAGAACAUAGAGACAGCCGCUAAAAUAAUAGAAAGUCUCCAAUAGAUGUUUGGGCAGAGUACUUAUAACUUUAUGAAAUGAGAGUUAUCAUGACACUUUUAGACUUAAAUAAAUAAUACUUAGAGAGUAAAUGAGGUGUUUUCAUUGUAUUUUUGUUAUAUUUUGCAUAAACAUUCAUUUUAAUUUAGUCUUAAUAAAUUUUGCUUGAUUUAGAGUAAUUCGUGCCCAAAUUGUGUGCUUAAUUGUAGGUGUCCAGAAGCUUAUCUUUCACGGAAGGGAUGUUGUUGCAAUAGGCUCGCAAAAAUGAGGAAGAACAUGGCUACAUAAAAAUUGAAACAAAAUCUAGAACAAUGUGGUGUUGUAGCCGUUGCUGGAGCAGCCAUUGCUGUAGCAAUCCUGAAACAACGACAGAGAAAAUUUAGCGCGGGAUAUAUGCAGAAUCGAUAUCUGCAGUUUCCUAAUCUGUCUUAUGCGCGCCCUAGGCUUCUGUUUACCCUAGUUUUCAGAUAUAAAAAGAGCACGCAUCAUAUGAAAAAAGGGCGGCAAAUUAACAUUGGAGAAAUCAAAGGGAAAAGGAGAACAAAAUCAGAAUUCACGGGAAAGCAAGUUUGCACCAGUGAAGAUAAACCCGCAGAGCUAUUGUGGAUUCAAUUUUCAUCGUUCUUUACUUGUUUCUUUACUUACUCUUUGAUUGAACCGAUGUAUUUCAUGGCUAAUAUUUUGCUGUUUAUUUUUCUUUUUCUAGGUAUGAACUAAAUUUGAUUGUAGUUGAGUGACAAACAAUCUAAAUGGGUUUUUACUGUUCUUAUGAGUUGCUGCAAGAUUGUUGUAGUGUUUUACUCUAAUAGCUAUUAUUAUAAUCAUUAUUUCAAUUGACCACCCAUUUAAUGGUUCAAGUUAAGAUAGAGCCGCAAAAGGGCAUGUCUUAGUGGAAAUUAUUAAAGUAAUACUUGAUCUUAAUUUAAGUUUCUUGGACUAAGAUUACUUGAGUCCCAAAAGGGCUAUAUUUGAGUUAAGAUUUGUAAAGAACUAGACAUAGGAAUUCACCUUGUAAGAUAGAGAGAGUGUAUGCUCAUAAUGCCAUACCGUAUGUGGCUUAACAAUUGGUCAUUAUUAGGGUGCUUAAGGGUAUGAGAAAUCUGAUAUGCGACAGCUGAGGAUGCAAAAUAAUUAUGCCCAGUGUCGUACGAAUUGUUGUAGCAACUGGUGUUAAUUUAGACAAAGUCCAUCGAGAGAGUUUGAUCACUUAACUACCUCAUUCCCAUUGAAAUCUUUUUAUGCAAUUCAUUUAAUUUGUUUUAUUACUGCAUUGAUUUAUUUUAUUUUUUCUUUUAUUGUCUAUUUCGGUAGUAAUUUACUUUUAAUUAGAAUCUUUUUGGAACAAAUGAAGUUUGCACUAUCAUGAUUGUUGUAGCAUUUCUAGUAACAUCAAUCCCUGUGGAGACGAUCUUGAAUAUUAAUCACUUUAUUACUUAUUGUGUCCACUUGCACAUUGACGUCAAUAGCAAUUAAGUUAAAAAAUAACCAACAAGUACUCACUCUGCGAGACAAGCGGUGCUGAAAGGUGUUAUGAACUCCAAGAUGGGAAAUGGUAUAAGAGUUCGUGAUCAUGUCUUGAAAAUGAUGGACUAUUUAAAUGAGGCUGAGAUUCAGGGUGCACAGAUCGAUGAUAAUUCAAAGAUUGAGAUGGUGCUAGAAUCUCUGCCUGAAACAUUCAAGCAGUUUAAGGUCAAUUAUAAUAUGAAUAAAAGAAAUAUGACCUUAACAGAAUUGAUGAACGAACUCCAUUCAGGUGAAGAGAUUUAUCUUGCUGAAAAAUCUCAAGGAAGCAUUAACCUUACUAAAAAAAUACUUUUUCNNNNNNNNNNNNNNNNNNNNNNNNNNNNNNNNNNNNNNNNNNNNNNNNNNNNNNNNNNNNNNNNNNNNNNNNNNNNNNNNNNNNNNNNNNNNNNNNNNNNNNNNNNNNNNNNNNNNNNNNNNNNNNNNNNNNNNNNNNNNNNNNNNNNNNNNNNNNNNNNNNNNNNNNNNNNNNNNNNNNNNNNNNNNNNNNNNNNNNNNNNNNNNNNNNNNNNNNNNNNNNNNNNNNNNNNNNNNNNNNNNNNNNNNNNNNNNNNNNNNNNNNNNNNNNNNNNNNNNNNNNNNNNNNNNNNNNNNNNNNNNNNNNNNNNNNNNNNNNNNNNNNNNNNNNNNNNNNNNNNNNNNNNNNNNNNNNNNNNNNNNNNNNNNNNNNNNNNNNNNNNNNNNNNNNNNNNNNNNNNNNNNNNNNNNNNNNNNNNNNNNNNNNNNNNNNNNNNNNNNNNNNNNNNNNNNNNNNNNNNNNNNNNNNNNNNNNNNNNNNNNNNNNNNNNNNNNNNNNNNNNNNNNNNNNNNNNNNNNNNNNNNNNNNNNNNNNNNNNNNNNNNNNNNNNNNNNNNNNNNNNNNNNNNNNNNNNNNNNNNNNNNNNNNNNNNNNNNNNNNNNNNNNNNNNNNNNNNNNNNNNNNNNNNNNUAAGUGAAUGAAGCGUCCAAGUUGCAGUUAGGGACAGGGCCAGUUUGUUUCAAUGGUGAAAACUAUAUCUGUUUUAUUAUGUUUUAAUAGUAAGACUUUAAUUUUAAAUAAUUGUCUUUAUGUUCCAGACAUUAAGAGGAAUUUAAUUUCAGUAGCUUGUUUGUCUAAACAAUGGUACACUAUAAAUUUUAGUUCCUCUCUUUCUAUUUUGAAAAAUAAUAGACUAGUAUGUUCUGGUACAUUGGAAGAUAAUUUAUAUCAUUUAAGUCCUCUGAUCCAUUCUAUGCAUGACACAAUGAUUGAAAAUAAUGAGCAUAUGCACUUAUCUAAGAAAAGAAAAAUUUCUUUUAACCAAUGUUACCUCUUGCAUAUACUCUUAGGUCAUAUAAACCUAAAUAGGAUACAAAGAAUGAUCAAAGAUUGACUUUUAGGUCCAUUGGAAAAUAAAUCAUUGUCAUUCUGUGAAUCUUGUUUAGAAGGAAAAAUGACUAAAAUGCCUUUCUCGCUAAAGGAAUACGUGCAACAGUACCACUUCAAUUAGUAUAUAUAGAUGUAUGUGGACCAAUCAAUGUACAAGUUUGAGGAGUUUAUGCGUAUUUCAUCAUAUUCAGUGAUGACUAUUCAAGAUACGGUUAUGUUUAUCUAAUGCGUCAUAAAUCUGAAGCUCUUGAAAAAUUUAAAGAGUACAGGAUUGAGAUCACCAGCACAUGUGCUAAAACCAAAGGCAGACAAAAUGGAUUCACGUUCUGAGGUUUGUAUGUUUGUUGGGUAUCCCAAAAGAACAAUAGGAGGUUUAUUUUAUAGUCCUCGUGGCAGAAAAGUAAUUGUGAGUACACAUUUCACUUCUUUUGAAGAAAACUAUAUGAAUAACUUCAAACCAAAGAGUAAGGCAAUACUAGAAGAGUUAUUAGGAGAUAAUGUUAAUGCUCAGAUUUCGGUACCUAUUAAUCAACAAGAAGAAGACCAAUAAUAUGAACAUCGCAAUAUUACCCCUGAACAGUAAUCAUCUAUAGAACCUCGUCGUAGUGAGAGGGUAAUUAGAUUACCAGCACGGUACAUGUUACUAGGAGAAACUUAUACAACCAUCUCAGAUGGACAAGUAUAGGAUCCCACUAGCUAUAAUGAAGCUCUAUUAGAUGGAGAUGCUGAAUUAUGGAAAAACACUAAGAACCAAGAAAUGGAAUCUAUGAAUUCCAAUAAAGUCUGGAAACUUAUAGAGGCACCAAAUAGGUUUAAACUCAUAGGGUGUAAGUGGAUCUACAAGAGAAACAUGGGAGUAGAUGGAAGGGUGGAAACAUUUAAAGUAAGAUUAGUAGCCAAAUGGUAUACUCAGAAAGAGGGAAUCGAUUAUGAGGAAACAUUUUCACCGAUUGCUUUGCUUAAAUCCAUUAGGAUUCUACUCUCCAUCAAUGCAGUGUUGGAUUAUGAAAUUUGGCAAAUGGAUGUCAAAACUGCGUUUCUUAAGGGGCAUUUUGAAGAAGACAUCUAUACACAGCAACCAUAUGGGUUCAUUAAAAAAGGCCAAGAACACAUAGUAUGUAAGUUACAAAAAUCUAUUUAUGGAUUAAAGCAAGCAUCUCGAUCAUAAAAUAUCAAAUUUGAUCAAAUAAUUAAAACAUUUGGAUUCAUACAGAAUAUUGAUGAGCCAUGUGUAUAUAAGAAAAUUCAGGGAAAAACUAUAGUUUUUCUUGUUCUUUAUGUAGAUGACAUUCUCUUAAUUGGAAACGAUAUCGAAGUAUUAUCAUUAAUAAAGAAUUUGUUGGCUAAAUAGUUUGAUAUGAAAGACCUAUGAGAGGCAAGCUAUAUUCUUAGGAUUAAAUUGCUUCAAGACCGGAAGAAUAAAACUUUAGCCUUAUCCCAAACUGCUUACAUUGAUAAGAUACUAGCUAGAUUUGGCAUGGAAUUACAUUCUCCAAAGAUCAGUCGCCUAAGACACCUGAGGAAAGAGAAAAAAAAAAUAAAGCGAGUUCCCUAUGCAAAAGUUGUGGGAAGUCUCAUGUAUGUCAUGCUAUGUACUGGACUAGACAUUUGUUUUGUAGUACGGAUGGUCAGUAGAUAUCAAUCUAAUCUUAGUCCUGAACACUGGACUGCAGUCAAGCAUAUGAUUAAGUAUUUGAAAAGAACUAAGAAUUAUAUGCUUGGGUAUUCUGGUGAUGAUCUCAUUCCAGUGGGUUACACUGAUUCUGACUUCAUGUCAGAUAAAGAUUUCAAAAAAUCAACUUCUGAUUAUGUGUUUAUAUUAUGAUAUGGAGCUAUAAGUUGAAGAAGUGUGAAACAAAGUUGUAUCGUAGACUCCACAACAAAAGCUGAAUAUAGGGCUGCAUCUGAAGCUGCUAAAGAAGUUGUUUGGCUCCGUAAGUUCCUACAAGAUCUUGAGGUGCACCUUUUAAACUAUUUUGUGAUAAUAGUAGAGCAGUGGCUCAGUCUAAGGAACCAAAAAACCACAGGAAGCAAAAACAUAUUGAAAGGAAAUACCAUCUCAUAAGAGAAAUAAUGCAGAGAGGUGAUGUAGAGGUUACCCAAAUAGACCUAAAAAAAAAAUGACAGAUAGUAUCAGAGCAGCUCCUCGUGUCCUCUUGAGCGAUAUUGGGGCAAACCUCAGCGAGGACGCUGAGUCCCUCAAGGCGGUGUAUGUAACACCCUAAGCGAAUCCCACAUCGGCAAAUCACGGGAGAGAUGUUGGGUUUAUAAGGGUGAUCCACACCUUAAUUGGCAAGACGCGUACUGGGGUGUAUAGGCGCCCCAGAAACAAAACCAUGCGGGCCUUGUUAAGGCCCAAAGCGGACAAUAUCUUGCCAAGAUUAGGUUGGGUCAUGACACUAACAACAUCUUCGAAGCUCAAAACCACUUAAAGUCUACUCCAGAGAGUAUUAUAUCCUGCACUAACAUAUUUCAAGUGACCCAUUGUUUUCAUAUUCUCCUAGUUCUUUAGUUUGUCUUCCUAGAAAAAUCAUAAUAAUGCCUAUAUAUAUACAUAUUAGUAUAUGAAUGCUCUCUUCUCUAAUCAAGCUAAAAACACUGACAAACAAGUCGUUGCUUCCUUGUUCUAUUGUAAGUUGUAAUUUGUUAUUGUCGUGCCAAACUUGCAUAAAUAUAAUUUUGGAAAAUAUGUUGUUAAGCAAAACUAAUAAAAGGUAGGUUCUUUAUUCCUCUAUUUCUAUCGGCCUAUUAUUAAACAUGAUGUGAAACUAACUCAUUCAUUGGCUGAGUUUUGUCAAUUCAAACUAUCUUUUAAUGUUUUUGCACAGAUGAAAUCCAAUUUAUCAAUAGAAAAGAAACUUAUAAACCAAUUUUAUAAAUGACUUAACUUAAGUAUUUCCAAUCAAACAAGCUUAAUUUUUAUAAGUUAAACCCUAAUUUAGAAAUAAAAAGUAAAUUGAGAAUCAAACCUACAGCUUGAAGAUCCAAGAGCAGUAUUCUUGCGCAGCGUAGUGAUUAAUGGGCUAUGGUGUCUGACAGUGUAGUGUUAGCGAAAUUGUGGUUCGUAUGACAGGAUGGUAAUAGAGUUGGUGUGUCUCACGGCAAAGCCAGCUAGCGUGAUAGUGAUAGAGUAAAGCUAGCUGGCCAAUUUUGUUGGCAAAUAGAGAUGAGCAGUGAUCAAGUGUUUUUCUAUUUUUUUCUUUGUUUUUGUUUUGUUAAAUGGCAAGAAACAUGUAUAAACCCAACCCCCUAUGGGUUUACUUUAUGCAGGUUUUGCCACAUCAUAAUGUUACAAUAUCUAAUAAAGCCCAAACAUGAUAUAGUAAUUUAUUAAUACAAUACAAACUCUUAAUACAGCAUUAUGAGUGCUACCAAACAUGCCUGUAGAACAUUAUAUCCAUCUUUAUCUGUCAAAAACUUAAGAAGAGGAAGUGAAUAUCCACAUUUGUAAAGUUGAUUAUCCAUGAUCACAUACCUUGCAAUUUGGUAUCUCACCUUCUUAUAUUCAUUCUUGUCCUUAGGUAAAGUUCCAUUCAUAAGCUAACUUAUGAUUGGAUCCAUCCAGAAAAUUCAAUGGUCAAUGGUUACUUUUUCAUUUUGUUCGAAUUUGAUUAUGCUUGGCUUUGGGAUGAUGACUACUAGAACUAAUCUUAGAAAGUUUUUCUCAGGCAAGAAAGCCAGUUGAGCCAAAGCAUCAAGUCGUGUGUUUUCCUUCUAAGAAAUUUGUUUUACCUUGUCGUUAAAGUCCCUUAGUAACUCAUUACCUUCAUCAAGAUAUGUAAUCAAGUUGAAAUCCCGAGCUGUAUAGUUGCAAUUCACUUGAUUAACCACUAAUUAUAGUCACUAAAAACAAGCAAAUCAUUUGCACGCAAUGCUCGAACUAACCUAAAGCUGGCAAGAAGAGCCUCAUACUGUACCUCAUUCUUAGUAACAUUGAUGCGAUAUUUAAAAGCACAUCUAAUCUCAAUGUUGUUUAGGGUGAUCGCUAUAAAUCCCUCACCACAUCAUCAUUUCCUAGAGGAUCUAUUACCGUAAAGAGGCCAUUUAUCAUGAUGUUCUUUUUCAAUAUCAAGUGAUAUUAUCACUUCUUUAAUAAAUUCAGCAAUAAAGUUUGUCACUACUUGUCUUUUUAAUGAUGUCCUACGAUAAUACAAGAUAUCAAACUCUCCAAGCUCAAUAAGCCACUUCAUCAUCAGGCUUAGCCAAGACUUGUUGAAUUAGUUGAUUAGUAAGAACAAUUAUGAUAUGAACAUACAAGUAAGGUCUUAGCUUUCUUGCUAAAACAAUCAAGGUUAGGACAAUCUUAUUAAGACUUAUGUAGUAUAUAGGCCUUUGCACUCCAUUAUCUUCUCAGAUAAGGAUAAAGUUAGUGGUGUGUUUAGACAUCACAAGAUAGAGAAGAAUGACUCAUCUUGGAUUAGCUUAACAAGCAAAAAGGGACUUCUUAAAUAUUCUUUAAGUUUUUUAAAAGCUUUUCCAUAUUCCUUUGUCUACUUCAUCUCGUUUCAUUUGCUAAGAGCCUUGAAGAAAUGAAAGCAGUUAUCUAUGGCUCGAGAGACAAAGCAAUUCAGGGCUGCUACUUGACCCGUCAACCUCUAAAUUUCUGUAACAUUCUUUGGAGACUUCAUGUUAACCAAUGCUUGAAUCUUCUCAAGAUUGAUCCCAAUACCUCUUUGAUUUACCAUAAAGCCAAAGAUUUUCUUAAUGAUAUACAAAUGCAUAUUUAGUUGGACUUAAUCUCAUUUUGUACUUCUUAAGAACAUUAAAGGUAUCCCAUAAAUCUUUUAAAUGAUCUUUAGGUGUAAAACUCUUGGUAAGCAUGUCAUCUACAUAAACUUCCAUAGUAUGCCCAAUUUGUUGAACAAAGGUAGUAUUUACUAAUCUCUGAUAGGUGACCUCUCUGAUAGGUGGCCCCAAUGUUCUUGAGUCCAAACGACAUAACUUUGUAGCAAUAAGGACCUCGAUUAGUGAUGAAGGUGGUCUUCUCUUAGUCAGGGUUCAUGCAUCAUUAUCUGAUUAUAUCGUGAGUAUGCAUCUAUAAAGCUUAGCGAUACAUGCCAAGUUGUUGCAUCUACUAAUUGAUCAAUCCUUGGUAAAGGAAAACAAUCUAUUGGAUAAGCUUUGUUAAGAUCAGUAGAGUUAAUGCACAUCCUCUAUUUUCUAUUAGUUUUCUUCACCACCACAAUAUUGGCUAAACACUUAAGAUAUCUUGCCCCUUGAUAAAACCAAGCUUAAAAAGUUUAUCUAUUUCUUCUUUCACAGCUAAAGAUCUUUCGGCAUUUAGGCUACUUCUUUUCUAUCAAAUCAAUUUUAUCUUUGGGUUAGUACUUAAUCAAUGGACUAUCACCCUAGGAUCAAUACUCAGUAUAUCUUUAUGUAUCUAAGUAAACACAUCGUGAUAUUCUUUGAGAAAUUUAACAAAUUUUUUCUUCAAUUGAUCAGUCAAUUGACAUCUACUACCUUAGUUAGAUCUUCACCAAGCAGAAAGUCAUCUAAGUCAUUAAUUAGACUUGCUCAUUGAUCAUCUUUGACUAUUCUAGGAUAAAGGCAUUUGAUUUGAAGAGUUUCAUUGCCCAUUCUAAAUGAUAUAUCAUAGCACUCCUUUACUUCCUUUUGCUCACCUUUCAGAACUUCAACUUCAACUUUAGUUGGAAACUUCAAUGUAUAAUGGUAAUUCAAAUCUUUCGCUUUUAUUAUACAAAGAUUUAGCGUUCUUAAGAUGGAGUUAUAGGAACUUGUUUGAUCAACUACAAUAAAAUUAACUAUAGCGGUUACAUUGGUCAAACAUUUUCCAAAGAAACUACGAGCUCGAUAACUCCAUUAGGAACUACACUUCCUUUGAUGAAUUCAUCAAGUGUAGCAGUGUAAGGUUUCAAUUGUGAUCUUUCCAACCCUACUCGGACAAAGGUUGACAAGAAUAAAAUCUCAACUGAACUCCCAUUAUUCAUGAGAAUUAGAUGGAGUUUGCUUGCCACAAAGAGGGUGAUAUCUAAUGCAUCACAAUGAGGAUGAUGAACUCCUCUAGCAUAAUUCUCGAAGAAUAUUAUUACUAUGUCAUCAACUAUUGUCACUUCCCAUUCCUGAGUAAAUUAUCCAGUUUCUUAGAUAACUAUUGAGUGCAUUAUUGUUUCCUCUGAAGUAUCUCCUCAAAUGUAGUAUUGCUCUCCAAAGGUUGCUAUUUGCUGAUUCAUCGAAAUAUGAUGACUCUUCCAAAACGAAAAUCAAUCUUAAGAUUAUAUAGGUAGCAAUAUAGAUCGUGCCAUAAUAGACUCGAUCUAGGAUAGUCUCAGUAGAUUUUUAAUAUAAAUAUCAUAAUUCUAAUUGGAAUAUACGUAUAAAAGAAAAAGGAACAUUGCAUAUAUUAUGGUGACUUACUGCAUCUAGAUAACAACUUAUCGUUAAUCAAAAGUUUCAACUUCAUUUAUCAAGUACUGCAGAGGUUGCUGCACCAUGCGUAUGGUUGCUUACCAUAUGAUGAGUGAACUUCUGUAUCGUUUGCAUUGUAUUUGUGUCUCCACUAUUUGUGAUUCAAAAUUUUCUUUUGAUGGGAGCACACUUGUGAUUAGCAAUUAAAUAAAUAAAAGAUUAUUAAAUAAAUUCCCACUAGAAAAUGAGACACCGUAGAUGGCUGUAUAUAUUUUUUUACUAAUUAUGUGAUCGUAAAAAAAAACAAAAAUUGAUGCCCAUCAUUCAAAAAUAAAUAAACUAUAAGUGAUUAAGACUAAUUUUUUUUAUCAUUUGCUAAUAAUGUCAGUGUUAAUCUAAGUUUUGUACUGAUCUUUUAAAAAAAUGUGACAGUAGUUAUUGGAGAAUUAAAUUUUAACCGUACAUUAAUAUUGUAAAAUACAGACAUCACAUAAGAUUGAUUAUUAAAACAUAAACACAACAAAUUGAGUAUCGAAUCAAAAUUUAAAUGUAAAACUUGCUUCGAAAUGAUCAAACGAGGUACAAUUCUUAGAAUUAAUGGGCAUUCACAGGCUACUUAUAGAACUCCAUAACCCAUAAAUUACAAGUAAAACAUUCAAAUCUGAUGCCACUAAAUCCAGCUCCAGCAGCCAAGGUCAUGAAUUCAUGCUUUGUUCGCUCCUUUCCUCCCGGAUUUUGAGUCAUCAUCAGCACAUCAAUUUGGGAAUUUCUUUUUGAUAGAGUGCUAGUCUCAGGCAGAUCUGGAAGUAUUGACUCCACAACAAUUACCUUUCCAUCUUCUGGAAUACUUUUGUAGCAAUUCUUCAACAACUUCAAGCAAUGUUCAUCGCUCCAAUCGUGCAGUAUCCACUACAAAAUGUGAAAUAUUAUGAAAUUUGUUUAAUAUCUGCAAAGUAAAUUCAAAUUAAACUUACCUUCAUCAAGAUGGCAUCACCUUUUGGAACACUUUGAAACAUAUCACCCCCUGCAUGCUCAACGCCUGUACUACACACAAUUUAAUUUCCUCUGUUAGAAUCUGGCGUUACGGUGGACAGAGUAUUCUUAUGAGCAUUGAUAUUCGGGCAAAAAGUUUAGACAUAAAAGCAACAGUAAAUCGGGCCUGAUUUUCUCAAUAAAUUUCAAAUACAUAAAUCGAAUUCAGUUUAAAGUCUUUUUGUCGAAAAAAUUUCAGCAUUUUCUCUGUUUACCAUGUUCUAAUUAAUAAUUAAUAUAUAUUUUCUCAUAACAAUGACAUUAAAAGAAAAAACGAAGACAGGAUUUUGGGGAAAACCCAAAUAAAUUUUCUAGCCUUCAACCUUCUCAAGGAUUUACAAUUAGUUAGGCAGAUUAAGAAAAAUUUUUAAGAGCUACUAAGCCAUGUCUCUCACAUUAUUGUAAAAAUAAGUGAUAAUUCAUACCAGGAUACUCCGGGGCAUGCUGUAUAACAUGAGGCAAGUCGAAAUUGAUGCCCUUAACGUGAGAAUACUUGGUAGUGAUAGCUUUAAGUGUAUUGCCAAGGCUACCACCGACAUCGACCAGUUGCUUUAUGUGCUUGAAACCAUUGUAAGCCUCAAGAAUUUUCUGGAUGACCAAAGUAGAAAGGUUGUACAUCGCUGUAUUGAAAACUUCAUUGAACCUGGGGUCCAGUCUCGGGUACUCAAAAGCGUGUGUUCCAUGAACACGAUCAAAUGGAACUCCUCCUUCAAUAAUAGCUUCUUUUAGUUGGGACCUGCACGAUCAAUUAAUCAAUCAGUCCAGAAUUAGAUUCGUAUCCAAAUCCUCUAUUCAUCAGAUCAACAUUUUACAUUUGGCUUACUCUUUUUAGAUUCAUUGAUUCGUGGUUGAUAAAAACAUAUAGAUACAUAUAAAUUAUAACUAUGACGAUGUAUACGUAUCGUAAAAAAAUCACAAAUUAGUUCAUAUCUAGUUUGUAUUGACAUUUCAUGUAGUUAGGUCCUGCUUGUUGUGCGCAGAAUGCAAAAUCAAGCACACCAAAUAAUCACAGAAAAAUAAAUGAUACAAAAUUUAACGUGGUUCGGCAAUUAUGUCUAUGUCCACGGGAGCAAGAGAAAAUAAUUGUAUUACUAACAAUUAUAAUAGUACAAUAUUUGAGUAGAAACCUUACUUCUCAAAAUCUAAAUACACCUAGUAUUCUCACAUACACUUGAAAAGAAAAAACCUCUCAAUUGUUCACACUCUCCAAUUGCUCACUCUCUCAACAAUUCUUCACUUAAAUUAUUGCUCUCAAUUUUAUGAGAUUCUCUCAAAUUUUAAGAUGCUUUAGCUCUAUGAAUGAAGCUCUAUUUAUAGUUGAGCUUCACUGUAAAAAGUCUGAAAAGUAGUUGGCAAAAAGUCCUGCAAUUUGGCGCCGAAUUGAAAAAACAAAAAAAUGCAUGCGGCUUUGCCAAUUUUUGUCAAGAAAAUCACGCGGUUCAAUAUGUUCAAAAUCCAACAUGUGAGCCCCCUUCUUUACUUUGGCUUUUCAACACUGCUGUCUUAAAAAACCCCCCGGGAAAAAAAAUCUUUUAAUUGAGCAAAAUUCUACGGAUAAAGUUAAGAAUUUUUUCCUUUAUGAAUUUCUGUCAAAACUACAGAACAGAAUUCAAUAAAUGCUCUCAAUAGAACUAAAUUCAUUGUCUUUUUCAUACUACUCUCAUUUUCUCUGCAAGUAAAAGACAAAAAUUUCCCCGACGGAGAACACUUUUCUUCUUAUCCUCUGCAAAUAAAACACAAUCAACAAUAUUUCAUCUAUUCUUGAAUUGAUUUGAUUAAAAGUAUAUAUAUAGUAAUGAUUUAUAAGUUUGCUAAGUGUACAUUCUACAUUUUAGUGCUUACUAUUAUAAAUAUACACUUAUGCAUCAAAUAUAGGGAUUUAGUUCAUUUUUUGUUUGUUUGUUUCUACGACGACUGAAAAUGAAUUUAGAAACAAGUUGAGCAUGAGUUGGAGUAUGAUCGGAGAUAUGCAUGAUUGGAUCUGAAUGUUUAGAAAGAUAGAUGCAUUAUUAACCCAUGUGAUGUUAUUAUUCUAAAUAAAAAUAAACUACAGAGAAUUAAAAUGAGAGAGAGCAGGUAUACCAGCUGUCCAGAAACACCUUGUCCUGAAUUAAGGCCAUUAAGGGGCCCAAUGAGACACCAUCUUCGUUAGGCACAAAGUAUCUGGAAACAUUACUCUGACCGUAGAGUCUCUGAGAACCAUCAAUAUCAUCUAGUGAGCAUUCAACAACACCAUGGCUAGCCAGAAGCCUGAGUAUCCGGUCCAACAUCAUGGGUGCGUCUUUGUUCUUGGUGGUAGGCAACUGAGCUGCAAUCUCUGAAGCUGAGAGCUUUGCUCCAGGACCAGCUUUGGCUAUGAUCUUGAAAACUCCCAGCUCAAUUGCUGCUUGCAUGGUCAUGGGGAGCACUGAACCCGUCACCAAUUGAUUGGCAUAUGCAAAGCUUUCGUCUCUCUCUUCAUUAGCCAUAUUUUGUUGAAUUUCCUUAUCUGUUUUGCUAAGAAACAAUGCGAUUAUAGUGGUGUGAAGAUUGAUUGGCCUGUCCAAAAGGAUAUAGCUUAUUAUAUAUUGGUAUAUAUGAGCUAGUUUCCGUUUUCUUUCCUCUAGCUAUUGUGAAAAUAAUGAAGUGAAAGUUGUUGAAUGUACAGGAUCGUUUGAGGGAGCCUGUACCUCCACAAAUAAUGUCAGUGUUUUCAAAUUCAGAGAGUGUAACCUGCUGUUUAUUUCUAAAAUUUAAAUAAAGAAAUAGCUAACAAACUAACUUGGACUCUAACUACUCCAACAGCUAACUUGACUUAUUCAAACAAUGAAAGAAACAAAAAAAAUCAAUUAACUGGAACAAAAUCUAGAACAUGUAACAUAAUGGUUCUCUUAUUUUAAUAUGAUAAAAGGACAAACAAAAAGAUAGAAAAAUAUAAAUUUUAAUAAAAUAUAAAAUAAAAUUGUUUUCUUUUUAUUUAGCUUAUCUCUAACUUUAUUAAAAUAUGAGAUCAUUUAUUAAAAAAUAAAUAAAAAAGGAUGAAAGAAGCCAUAUUAUGUAUAAAGUAAAUUAACAAUAAAGGAAUUCCUUACUUUAUUAAAAUAAGGUAUAAUUUAAGAGAUAAAAAAUACAGAUUUCAAUAUACUACAUGUAACAUUUCACAUUAUUAGCGAGAGUUUUGAGACUAGUUUAUAAGUUAUGGGUUCUUAACUAAGCAAACAUGACGGGAUAUGUACCCAACGUGGAUAGUAUCUUCUUGGUUAAUGGGCCUAGGGUAUUGAAGUUAGUAUCAUAAACAACUCACGACCUGAUGUAUGGAUGGAUAUGUUAUUGGUAUGAUUGUAUCUCAUUCUGUUAUGAGGAUCAAGGGGAGAAACAUUUAACAUCUCAUUGGUAUGAUUUCAUUAUGUCCCGUUAUGAGGGUCAAUGGGGGAAGCAUGUAACAUUUCACAUUGCCAGUAAGAGAGUUCUUGGACUAGUUUAUAUGCCAUGAGUUCUUCUAACUAAGAAGAUGUAUUUUGGGUUACAAGCCCAAUCAUAAAACAAUAGUGGGUUGUAUAUCCAAAGCGGAUAAUAUCUUUUUGUUUAGUAGGUUGUGUAUCUAUUAUGAUAAAAUUUUAAUGAUUCCUAAUUAUUUUAAUAUUAUCUAUUCACACCCCACUAAAACUCGAAUUAAACCUAAGCCCUAAGUAGACUGCUCUUCACCACAUGAGCUGAACCUUAAUUUUUAUGUAACAUCCCAUAUUGCUAGGGAGAUAGUUCUCGGACUAAUUUAUAAGUGACAAGCUCUCCUAACUAAGCAAAUGUGUUUUGGACUAUAAAGUCUAAUAACAAAAUCGUGACGGAUUGUGUGCCCAAAGCGAACAAUAUCUAUUUGGUUAAUGGGUCUAGGCUAUUAUAAUUAGUAUAAGAGCUUACUCAUGAGCCGAUGUGUCGAUUGAUAUGUUAAUGAUACGAUUUCAUUCUAUUCUGUUUCCAAUGAUCCUCACGAGAACGCAAGGUCCUUAAGGGGAAAGGAUGCAUUGCUAACGAGGAGUUCUUGGAGCAGUUUAUAAGCCAAGCACUCUCCUAACUAAGCAAACGCGCUUCGGGUUAGAAAGUUCAAUAACAAAAAAAGUGACAAUUGUGUGCUAAAGCUGAUAAUAUCUACUUAGUUAUUGGGCAUAAACUCUUAUAUUAUAAGAUAAAAUAUACUAUAUUAAAAUAUGUAUUUUUCUUCUUUUAACUUAUUUCUUAUUUUAAUGAAAUUAUUUAUUAAAAAAUUACUACAUAAAAACCUAUUUAUAUAUAUAAAUAGAAAUUUUUGGAGGGAAACUUAAAAUUUUAUUUUCGUAUUGAAAUAUCUAUCUUACUAUAUUUAUAAAAGAUAUAUCUAACUGCGUCCAAGUAUAUGCUUGAGAUAAAAUUAAUGGCUGAUGCAUGGAAUGAGAUUCAAUUGCGGAAAAAGAUCCUCUCCUGAUCUGAUCUUUUCUGAGCUUUCAAGAUUUUUAGUCAUGUGUCUUUUAAUGGUAGUGUAUGGGUAAGAUUCAACUUCUUUUAUUUUUUUAUUUAUUAACUACCAAUCAGUAAUUGCGAAAAAAAUUCAUCUUCUUUUAUUUGCUCAGGAUAUGAUCAGAUCAGGAGAGAAUCAUGAUCCCUCAAUUGUAGCCUCUAAGCUGACACAAUCACGUUUGCCAAAAGAAAAGUUGAGACAGUGACUUAUAAAAAAUAAAAUUAAAAAAAUUGAGACAGCGAUUUUUUCAUCAUUUUUAAUUUGAUGCAUUAAUUGUAGUGGGCAAAAAUAAAAGGAGAACCAUGUGUUGUGUCAGUAUUCUCUCGUAUUUUAGCAGUAAAAAUUUAAGUAGUAAUUAAUAAUUAAUAAAUAAAAAAUAAUUAAUUAAAAUUUACCUAUUUACUAUAAUUAAAAUAAGGGUCGUGUUGAGUUACGAUCAAUGUAAUUUACGGCUCUUGUAAUAUAGUCCCAUUACCGUAUUAUAAAUUUUUGCAUAUUUUACAUAGAUUAUAAGUUAAUCUUUAAAAUAAACAUAAUACAAAAUCUUUAAACAUUAAAAAAAAUUAAAUUAAAAAAAAUUGUCAUCGGCUAGGACCAUGAGAACAGGCCAACCCAUUUUGAUUCUUACUUCUCCCUUUAGCUAUUGACAAGUCACAAGACAUAAGAGAGGGUUAGUAAUGGAAGCGUGGAUGACAUUGUUGUAAAUAAACAUAAAUUCACGAAGUAUAAAAAGGAUGAUGUUAAUAUUUCUUAUGAGAAUAAAUCUCAAUUUGGAUGAUACAAUUAUGCAAGGUGAGAAUUUACUUAUUUAUAACAAGAAAAAUGUUGUUACGGUUAAAAUUUUGAAAAAAUGCAUAAAAAUAAUUAAAAUAUUUUGAUAAUAAAAGACUAAAAUAUCUUCGUUAGUAAUGUCAUGCUAGACGGAUAACACAACUUAGCUACCUAAUUUAGGUUGGCUAUAUCGCAUUUGGCUUCGGCUUGUAAAUUAGCACUUGAUGGUUUAGCCUCCAGUCAAUCCAAACGGUGCUUAAUUAGGUAAGGCGUAUUUCACAAAGACAUGCCAUCCAUCUGUCACGUUAGGUGAUGCGCAUGUAACCAAAAACAACCGAUAUCAAAGUAGGCACAUGCGAAGGCUUAUUUUUCCAAGGGUAACAAGCUAAUUAGCUAAGACUAUCAUUCAUCCAUCUGUCACGUUAGGUGAUGCGCAUGUAACAAAAAACAACCGAUAUCAAAGUAGGCACAUGCGAAGGCUUAUUUUUCCAAGGGUAACAAGCUAAUUAGCUAAGACUAUCAUUCAUCCAUCUGUCACGUUAGGUGAUGCGCAUGUAACAAAAAACAACCGAUAUCAAAGUAGGCACAUGCGAAGGCUUAUUUUUCCAAGGGUAACAAGCUAAUUAGCUAAGACUAUCAUUCAUCCAUCUGUCACGUUAGGCGAUGCGCAUGUAACCAAAAACAACCUUUAUCAAAGUAGGCACAUGCGAAGGCUUAUUUUUCCAAGGGUAACAAGCUAAUUAGCUAAGACUAUCAUUAAAAGUCUCUUUAAAUGAGAUUUUAUUAUUUAUUUAAAGAGUCAUAUA
rnacentral:lncRNA from 1 species